AAUGUUGCAAAGUUAGACAAAAAAAGUAGGAUUUCUUCCCAUCUGUUUUAGCUUUGUAGAUAAUUGAAUAUAGUUAGCUGGUACCUAUGGCUGGAGGGAGGUGGCAGGUACCUGUAUUCAAGGUGCGUGCAAGUGAGCAUAGACACCGAUCGUUAUGAAAAAAGAUGCAAGCUUGUGGUCCUAUAGGUGCUCCUGAUGCUUUGAGUCUUGCAUUUUGUGAUUUUCUGUUUUCAUUUCUCUUUUUCUUUUUUUUGUGUUUUGGGGAUGGUUUUGCACAAAAGUUUAUCAAUAACCUCAAGGUACAUGUUACCCUACCCAGAAGCCACUUUUUUGAACUACACGGGGUAUGUUGUCCUUGUACAAAAGUAGAAGGAUGAAUGAAGUGUUGACUAGCUUGGUUGGGAAAAUUGUUAUGUUUAACGAAUUGAUCUUUUUCAGUUAUAUUUCUUGAAGUCUUCACAUGCUUACACAAGUAAUGUUAAUCGGUGUUCUUGAUAUAUAUCAACUAGUGUAGGAUAUAAAAAUUUGGUGGAUUGGUUCUCAAUCACAGCCUCUAGCACAAAGUAGUGAUUUUUAAGUCGUAUUUGAUCUAUAUACCGACCCAAUGGUAUACUCCUCGAUUGUGUUUUGGUCACACAUACACCAGUUUUGACUUUUUUUUUUUUUUUUUUACCUUAGAAUACAAGGUGCAUUCAUACAAUCGAAAUGGUUUAUGUGCUUUGGGCUUCAUGGAUGAUCACUAUCCAGUUCGAAGUGCAUUUUCACUGCUCAACCAGGUAUAGGCUCUUUAUUAUAGAUAUUCAUCUUUGAGAGGAGAAACUCUAUAUAUGGAGAAAUCAAAUUAUGGAUCUGCAUCUCAUUUUUCCAGGUUUUGGAUGAGUAUCUGAAGAAUUUUGGUGAGUCAUGGAAGACGGCUCAAUGCGACAAUGCUCAACCAUGGCCUUAUCUGAAUGAAGCUCUAGCCAAAUUUCAGGUUCCCCUUCUGUUUUUGUUUUCUGGGUGAUGAUGGAAUUUCAUUUUCAAUCAAAUUCUUCCCACUUUCAUCUUAAAACAAUUGACGUUUGAGCUGAUCAUGUUGACCCCUACAGGAUCCUGCUGAGGCCGAUAAGCUGUUCAAAAUUCAACGAGAGUUGGAUGAAACAAAAAUUAUUCUCGUAAGUAUUGUGUUAUUCUCAUGAUUGCCUGCUUAAUGUCAUCUUUUUAAGCUCUUUAUUCCAAGAUGAUUGGGAGCAGUUUGCAUUUGGAUAAUGUUUGUUGAUCAUUGAGUGAGUUCCAGAAGACCUGGACAGAAUACAAAUUCUCCAUUUUUUUGGUUAAUGAUCUAUAUCCCCUGAUGGUUAUAUAUGGACAUGUAACUCCUAGCCACUGCCAGCCAUUUUCCUGUAGAGCUUCUGCUCGUGCAUUGAAUUACCGAUGAAAUUACUAAUUAAUUUUGUAUUGCUUUUACAAGUUGAAAUCAUUUGUAUGCUGGAGUCUACCACAUUGGUUUGAGGGAAUAGGUUAUAUAUAUGUGUGUGUGUCUGUGUGGUAUGGGGUGCGGGGUAUCCCACACAUAAGCUAACUCUUUGAGAUGGUGUUAGGCCCAAGGUCUGUUUUCUAGAAUUUGACAAGUAUGUUGCCACUUUUUGGUGGAUGUGUAUCUACCUUCAUUAUUUGAUGUCUAGUUAAGUUUAUUUUUGAGUUCCUAAUAUAUUUGUUACGUUAUCCAAGUAGUUUAACGGUCAUAUGCUUUCAUUGAUAAGCUUUCCAAGUUAUUUACACUUUGUCCCUCACUCCCUCUUGUAGGCCAUGGUUAUUUCUUUGAGUAGUACCUCGUUUGACCUUCCUGGUGCAUUUUAAGCAAACUAUUCUUACGUGGACAUCCUAAAGCUUUAAAAUCAAAUGCCCGUGUUGAAAACAUGCUGUUGGGUGGGAAUAGGAAAGCAAAUAUAUUCUUACAUUGCGUUACUUAAAUGUGUUUUUAGAAGUAACUUCUCUUUUUAGUUGUGUUUAUUUGUAUUUCCUUUCUAAAUAUGCACUGUACUUAUCAAAUAUUCAUGCAUAUUAAUGCAUGAAGGAGUUCUGGUCCUCUUUUUUUGGUUGCUGUUAGCUGUGCUGAUAUUGGUUUCUCUUACCUUUUGACACAGCAUAAGACAAUUGACAGUGUCUUAGAACGUGGUGAGAAGCUAGACAGUUUGGUUGAGAAGAGUUCAGAUCUCAGUGCUGCUUCACAGGUAAUGCAUCUGUUAAGAGGAUUAUAAUCUUGAAAAGAAGAUGAACGCUGUUUAACAAUGAACAGUUCUUCAUCUUUCCUCUUAGGUGGAAUAUUUUUCCUCUACUAUUUUUAUCAAUUUAUUUUGACAAUUCAGAUUAUGUCUACUGUUGUGUGGAUAAUACUCGGAUCUUUCAACAAUGUUAUUGCUAUGGCUCACUAACUAAAAAGAUCCAAGUGGUUUUUUUACGCUCAGUAUCAAGUUGCACGGGGAGGUUAUUUGCAAUUUCUUUGUGGGAAGUAUUUUACAAGUCACAUUUUCUCUACAAGCAUGGUGGACAUGGCAUGAUAGGUGCAGGCGCAUGCCAUGGAACCAUUAAUUGAAUAAUAUGGACAUACAGAACUGAGCAACAAGUUUUGUAGUAUUAUCACACUAAAUACACACAUCUUCCUGCUAAGUGAACUCGUGUCAAAGAACACUGUCGAAUAUUGUUCUGCAUUAUAUGUCCAUUGGGUUUUGGGAGUUCUUUAGUUGAAUUAAAAGACACUUCAUGCUAAAUUUUCUACUUGUGGAGGGAGAGGAACAAAUGAAGCUUCUUGGUGGCUGGGAAAGUAAACAUCUGAUAUAAGCUGUGUUCUAUUAUGCAUGAACUGUAUUUCGCUGGAUCCCUUUGUGGUAUAACCAUGGAUGUGAUGAUGUUAGUCUUUUAUUACUAUUUCUUCUGCUAAUUUUAAUAUUGUAGAAGCUGCUGACUCUUAAACAUUAUCUGUGAGCCUCUACUAGUUUCGGCUUUUUUCCUGACAUGACCUGUUUGAUUUCUAAACAGAUGUUCUACAAGCAGGCAAAGAAAACCAAUUCAUGCUGUACAAUUUUAUAGACUGUUUUCUGAAGAUGGAAGGGGGCGAUUCAACCACGGAUAAACUUGUGUCUAUGUUGCAUAUGAAGUAUCGGAGAAUUGUUUGUUUAUAUCAUCCAUGAUAUUCUAUAAGCUUGAAUUCUUUUUGUUCUCUAUUGUAAUAUGAUCUCAGAUGAAGAGAAAGAGUCAGUCUCAGAUUGAUAAUGUUGUUUGAAAGUUGUGAUGUGAUGAUGUUCACCUACAUGUAGUUACUAUAUAACAUAUUUCCUGUUUCUGAUGUCUUGGCUUCCUGUCAUUUGACACAAUUUUUGAUGUAUGCUGAGACUGAAUACCCAAAAUCCCUAUUCCGCAACCAAUGUGAGACAAAUUUGAUACCCCUGCACUCCAUGCUCAUGACAGGCCUUCAUACUGGAGGAUGGAGUCAUCGGGUAAAUCAAAAAAUUGAGAUGGAUCUAAUUCUGAUCAUGAUAAAAGUGAGCCUUAGCGUAACUUAUUUUCAAAAGCUAGCUAAUGACAUUAGCCAUUAGUAAUUGUAUAGUGGUAUGCUAUACUACUAGAGGUAGCAAGUACCUUCAAAUCUCUGUACGCCGGUGUCAUCUCUUUAAGUAUUUUAUCGUAGAUGACAUAAUAUAAUAUGAAAGAUCGAUUUCAAAGGAAACUUAAUAUUUGGUAUAAUAUUAUAAAGUCGGAUUGUAUCAAACAAUUGUAGGGACAACAAUGUGGAAACUUGAGGCUAACAUGGUAUUCUUAGUCACUAAGUUUACACCAAAUCCAAUAAUGUCUCUAUCCAUAGAAACUUCACGAGUUCAAACGAAUCCAAAGUUUACAUUAAAAAAAAAGGAAGUUAAUAGCUAAGAAUACGCUAAAAAAAUAUAUUUUAAAAUUUUUAAGUUUUAUGGUAUUGUACGAAUUUUCUAUAUGAACUAUUAGAUGUGAGUUUCAUAUGUCAAACUUAUUACAGACUAUUUAUCUACAUACUCUUUUAACAUAUUCCAUGAAAUGUCACCAUCCUCCUAUCGUUUGACCUUCCAAAUGGGUCGGACAAGCCGUGAUGGACAACCGUAUGCAUAGACAAGGUCAUGACAGACGUCCACGAAAAAAUUUGGCAUUUUUGACGUCGGAAUCCGGAUCACCCAAAAAAUGGUGUGCUAUAGCACACGAAAAUCGUCGAAAUGAGGGGUAUGCUCGCUUCGGGACUCGUUUCACCUUCCAAAUGGAUCGGACAAGCCUUGAUGGCCAACCAUAUGCAUAGACAAGGUCUUGACGAACGUCAACGAAUUUUUUUUGCAUUUUUGACGUCGGAAUCCGGAUAACCCAAAAAAUGGUUUGCUAUAGCACACGAAAAUCGUCGAAAUGAGGGGUAUAAUUGCUUCGGGGCUCGUUUGACCUUCCAAAUGGAUCGGACAAGCCGUGAUGACCAACCGUAUGCAUAGACAAGGUCUUGACGGACGUCCACGAAAAAAUUUGGCAUUUUUUAUGUCAGAAUCCGGAUCACCCAAAAAAUGAUGUGCUAUAAUACACGAAAAUCGUCGAAACGAAGGGUAUGCUCGCUUCGGGGCUCGUUUGACCUUCCAAAUGGGUUGGACAAGCCGUGAUGGCCAAUCGUAUGCAUAGACAAGGUCUUGACGGACGUCCACGAAAAAAUUUGGCAUUUUUGACGUCGGAAUCUGGAUCACCCAAAAAAUGGUGUGCUAUAGCACACGAAAAUCGUCGAAAUGAGGGGUAUGCUCGCUUCGGGGCUCGUUUGACCUUCCAAAUGGGUCGGACAAGCCGUGAUGGCCAACCGUAUGCAUAGACAAGGUCUUGACGGACGUCCACGAAAAAAUUUGGCAUUUUUGACAUCAGAAUCCGGAUCACCCAAAAAAUAGUGUGCUAUAGCACACAAAAAUCGUCGAAAAAAGGGGUAUGCUCGCUUCGGGGAUCGUUUGACAUUCCAAAUAGGUCGGACAAGCCGUGAUGGCCAACCGUAUGCAUAGACAAGGUCUUGACGGACUUCCACGAAAAAAUUUGACAUUUUUGACGUCGGAAUCCGGAUCACCCAAAAAAUGGUGUGCUAUAGAACACGAAAAUCAUCGAAAUGAGGGGUAUGCUCGCUUCGAGGUUCGUUUGACAUUCCAAAUGGGUCGAACAACCCGUGAUGGCCAACCGUAUGCAUAGACAAGGUCUUGAUGGACGUCCACGAAAAAAUUUGGCAUUUUUGACGUCGGAAUCCGGAUCACCAAAAAAAUGGUGUGCUAUAGCACAUGAAAAUCGUUGAAAUGAGGGGUAUGCUCGCUUCGGGGCUCGUUUGACCUUCCAAAUGGGUCGGACAAGCCGUGAUGGCCAACUGUAUGCAUAGACAAGGUGUUGACGGACGUCCACGAAAAAAUUUGGCAUUUUUGACGUCGUAAUCCGGAUCACCCAAAAACUGGUGUGCUAUAGCACACAAAAAUCGUCGCAAUGAGGGGUAUACUUGCUUCGGGGCUCGUUUGACCUUCCAAAUGGUUCGGACAAGCCGUGAUGGCCAACCGUUCACAUAGACAAGGUCUUGACGGAUGUCAACGAAAAAAUUUAGAAUUUUUGACGUCGGAAUCCGGAUCACCCAAAAAAUGGUGUGCUAUAGCACACGAAAAUCGUCGAAAUAAGGGGUAUGCUCGCUUCGGGGCUCGUUUGACCUUCCAAAUGGGUCGAACAAGCCGUGAUGGCCAACCGUAUGCAUAGACAAGGUAUUGAUGGACGUCCACGAAAAAAUUUGGAAUUUUUGACGUCGGAAUCCGGAUCACCCAUAAAAUGGUGUGCUAUAGCACACGAAAAUCGUCUAAAUGAGGGGAUUGCUCGCUUCAGGGCUCGUUUGACCUUCCAAAUGGGUAGGACAAGCCGUGAUGGCAACCCGUAUGCAUAGAUAAGGUCUUAAAUGACGUACACAAAAAAAUUUGGCAUUUUUGACGUCGGAAUCCGGAUCACCCAAAAAAUGGUGUGCUAUAGCACACGAAAAUCGUCGAAAUGAGGCGUAUGGUUGCUUCGGGGCUUGCUUGACCCUCCAAAUGGGCCGGACAAGCCGUUAUGGCCAACCGUAUGCAUAGACAAGGUCUUGACGGACGUCCACGAAAAAAUUUGGCAUUUAUUACGUCGGAAUUCGGAUCACCCAAAAAUGGUGUGCUAUAGCACACAAAAAUCGUCGAAAUGAGGCGUAUGCUCUCUUCGGGGCUCGUUUGACCCUCCAAAUGGGACGGACUAGCCGUGAUGGCCAACCGUAUGCAUAAACAAGGUCUUGACGGACGUCCACGAAAAAAAUUGGCAUUUUUUACGUCGGAAUUCAGAUCACCCAAAAAAUGGUGUGCUAUAGCACACGAAAAUCGUCGAAAUGAGGCGUAUGCUCGCUUCGGGGCUCGUUUGACCCUCCAAAUGGGUCGGAAAAGCCGGGAUGACCAACCGUAUGCAUAGACAAGGUCUUGACGGACGUUCACGAAAAAAUUUGGCAUUUUUGACGUCGGAAUUCGGAUCACCCAAAAAGUGGUGUGCUAUAGCACAUGAAAAUCGUCGAAAUGAGGCGUAUGCUCGCUUCGGGGCUCGUUUGACCCUCCAAAUGGGCCGAACAAGCCGUGAUGGCCAACUGUAUGCAUAGAAAAGGUCUUGACAGACGUCCACGAAAAAAUUUGGCAUUUUUGACGUUGAAGUGUGGAUCACCUCAAAAAUGGUGUGCUAUAGCACACGAAAAUCGUCGAAGUGAGGCGUAUGCUCUCUUCGGGGCUCGUUUGACCCUCCAAAUGGGUCGUACAAGCCGUGAUGGCCAACCGUAUGCAUAGACCAGGUCUUGACGGAUGUCCACGAAAAAAUUUGGCAUUUUUGACGUCGGAAUCCGGAUCACCCAAAAAAUGUUGUGCUAUAGCACACGAAAAUCGUCGAAAUGAGGCGUAUGCUCGCUUCGGGGCUCGUUUGACCCUCCAAAUGGGCUGGACAAGCCGUGAUGGCCAACCGUAUGCAUAGACAAGGUCUUGACGGACGUCCACGAAAAAAUUUGGCAUUUUUGACGUCGAAAUUCGGAUCACCCAAAAAGUGGUGUGCUAUAGCACACGAAAAUCGUCGAAAUGAGGCGUAUGCUCGCUUCGGGGCUCGUUUGACCUUCCAAAUGGGCCGAACAAGCCGUGAUGGCCAACCGUAUGCAUAGAAAAGGUCUUGACGGACGUCCACGAAAAAUUUUUGCAUUUUUGACGUUGGAGUGUGGAUCACCUCAAAAAUGGUGUGCUAUAGCACACGAAAAUCGUCGAAAUGAGGCGUAUGCUCUCUUCGGGGCUCGUUUGACCCUCCAAAUGAGCCGUACAAGCCGUGAUGGCUAACCGUAUGCAUAGACAAGGUCUUGACGGACGUCCACGAAAAAAUUUGGCAUUUUUGACGUCGGAAUCCGGAUCACCCAAAAAAUGUACUAUGGCACACGAAAAUCAUCGAAAUGAGGCGUAUGCUUGCUUCGGGGCUCGUUUGACCCUCCAAAUGGGCCGGACAAGACGUGAUGGCAACCCGUAUGCAUAGACAAGGUCUUGACGGACGUCCACAAAAAAAUUUGGCAUUUUUGACGUCGGAAUCUGGAUCACCCAAAAAAUGGUGUGCUAUAGCACACGAAAAUCGUCGAAAUGAGGCGUAUGCUCGCUUCGGGGCUUGUUUGACCCUCCAAAUGGGUCGGACAAGCCGUGAUGGCCAACCGUAUGCAUAGAAAAGGUCUUGACGGACGUCCACGAAAAAUUUUGGCAUUUUUGACGUCGAAAUCUAGAUCACCUAAAUAAUGGUGUGCUAUAGCGUACGAAAAUCGUCGAAAUGAGGCGUAUGCUCGCUUCGGGGCUCGUUUGACCCUCCAAAUGGGCUGGACAAGCCGUGAUGGCCAACGGUAUGCAUAGACAAGGUCUUGACGGACGUCCACGAACAAAUUUUGCAUUUUUGACGUCGGAAUCCGGAUUACCCAAAAAAUGGUGUGCUAUAGCACACGAAAAUCGUCGAAAUGAGGCGUAUGCUCGCUUCGGGGCUCGUUUGACCCUCCAAAUGGGCCGGACAAGCCGUGAUGGCCAACCGUAUGCAUAGGAAAGGUCUUGACGGACGUCCACAAAAAAAUUUGGCAUUUUUGACGUCGGAAUCCGGAUCAUCCAAAAAAUGGUGUGCUAUAGCACACAAAAAUUGUCGAAAUAAGGCGUAUGCUCGCUUCGGGGCUCGUUUGACCCUCCUAAUGGGCCGGAAAAGCCGUGAUGGCCAACCGUAUGCAUAGACAAGGUCUUGACGGACGUCCACGAAAAAAUUUGGCAUUUUUGACGUCGGAAUCCGGAUCACCCAAAAAAUGGUGUGCUGCACACAAAAAUCGUCGAAAUGAGGCGUAUGCUCGCUUUGGCUCGUUUGACCCUCCAAAUGAGCCGGACAAGCCGUGAUGGCCAACCGUAUGCAUAGACAAGGUCUUGACGGACGUCCACGAAAAAAUUUGGCAUUUUUGACGUCGGAAUCCGGAUCACCCAAAAAAUGGUGUGCUAUAGCACACGAAAAUCGUCGAAAUGAGGCGUAUGCUCGCUUCGGGGCUCGUUUGACCCUCCAAAUGGGCCGGACUAGCCGUGAUGGCCAACCGUAUGCAUAGACAAGGUCGUGACGGACGUCCACAAAAAAAUUUGGCAUUUUUGACAUCGGAAUCCGGAUCACCCAAAAAGUGGUGUGCUAUAGCACACGAAAAUCGUCGAAAUGAGGCGUAUGCUCGCUUCGGGGCUCGUUUGACCCUCUAAAUGAGCCGGACAAGCCGUGAUGGCCAACUGUAUGCAUAGACAAGGUCUUGACGGACGUCCAAGAAAAAAUUUGGCAUUUUUGACGUCGGAAUCCGGAUCACCCAAAAAAUGGUGUGCUAUAGCACACGAAAAUCGUCGAAAUGAGGCGUAUGCUCGCUUCGGGGCUAGUUUGACCCUCCAAAUGGGCCGGACAAGCCGUGAUGGCCAACCGUAUGCAUAGACAAGGUCUUGACGGACGUCCACGAAAAAAUUUGGCAUUUUUGACAUCGGAAUCCGGAUAAUCCAAAAAAUGGUGUGCUAUAGCACACGAAAAUCGUCGAAAUGAGACGUAUGCUUGCUUCGGGGCUCGUUUGACCCUCCAAAUGAGUCGGACAAGCCGUGAUGUCCAACCAUAUGCAUAGACAAGGUCUUGACGGACGUCCAAGAAAAAAUUUGACAUUUUUGACGUCGGAAUCCGGAUCACCUUAAAAAUGGUAUGCUAUAGCACACGAAAAUCGUCGAAAUGAGGCGUAUGCUCGCUUCGGGGCUCGUUUGACCCUCCAAAUGGGCCGGACAAGCCGUGAUGGCCAACCGUAUGCAUUGACAAGGUCUUGACGGACGUCCACGAAAAAAUUUGGUAUUUUUGACGUCGAAAUUUAGAUCACCCAAAAAAUGGUGCGCUAUAGCACAUGAAACUCGUCGAAAUGAGGCGUAUGCUCGCUUCGGGGCUCGUUUGACCCUCCAAAUUGGCUGGACAAGCCGUGAUGGCCAUCCGUAUGCAUAGACAAGGUCAUGUUGGACGUCCACGAAAAUUUUUUGCAUUUUUGACGUCGGAAUCCGGAUCACCAUAAAAAUGGUGAGCUAUAGCACAUGAAAAUUGUCAAAAUGAGGCGUAUGCUCGCUUCGGGGCUCGUUUGACCCUCCAAAUGGGCCGGACAAGCCGUGAUGGCACACCGUAUGCAUAGACAAGGUCUUGACGGACGUCCACGAAAAAAUUUGACAUUUUUGACAUCGGAAUCCGGAUCACCCAAAAAAUGGUGUGCUAAAGCACACGAAAAUCGUCGAAAUGAGGCGUAUGCUCGCUUCGGGGCUCGUUUGACCCUCCAAAUGGGCUGGACAAGCCGUGAUGGCCAAUCGUAUGCAUAGACAAGGUCUUGACGGACGUCCACGAAAAAAUUUGGCAUUUUUGAUGUCGAAAUUUGGAUCACCCAAAAAAUGGUGUGCUAUAGCACACGAAAAUCAUCGAAAUGAGGUGUAUGCUCGCUUCGGGGCUCGUUUGACCCUCCAAAUGGGCCGGACAAGCCGUGAUGGCCAACCGUAUGCAUAGACAAGGUCUUGACGGACGUCCACGAAAAAAUUUGGCAUUUUUGACGUCGUAAUCCGGAUCACCCAAAAAGUGGUGUCCUAUAGCACACGAAAAUCGUCGAAAUGAGGCGUAUGCUCGCUUCGGGGCUCGUUUGACCCUCCUAAUGGGCCGGACAAGCCGUGAUGGCCAACCGUAUGCAUAGACAAGGUCUUGACGGACGUCCACGAAAAAAUUUGGCAUUUUUGACAUCGGAAUCCGGAUCACCCAAAAAAUGGUGUGCUAAAGCACACGAAAAUCGUCGAAAUGAGGCGUAUGCUCGCUUCGGGGCUCGUUUGACCCUCCAGAUGGGCCGGACAAGCCGUGAUGGCCAACCGUAUGCAUAGACAAGGUAUUGACGGACAUCCAAAAAAAAUUUGGCAUUUUUGACGUCGGAAUCCGGAUCACCCAAAAAAUUGUGUGCUAUAGCGUACGAAAAUCGUCGAAAUGAGGCGUAUGCUCGCUUCGGGGCUCGUUUGACCCUCCAAAUGGGCCGGACAAGCCGUGAUGGCCAACCGUAUGCAUAGACAAGGUCUUGACGGACGUCCACGAAAAAAUUUGGCAUUUUUGACGUCGGAAUCCGGAUAACCCAAAAAAUGUACUAUGGCACACGAAAAUCAUCGAAAUGAGGCGUAUGCUUGCUUUGGGGCUCGUUUGACCCUCCAAAUGGGUCGGACAAGCCGUGAUGGCCAACCGUAUGCAUAGACAAGGUCUUGAUGGACGUCCACGAAAAUUUUUUGCAUUUUUGACGUCGGAAUCCGGUUCACCCAAAAAAUGGUGUGCUAUAGCACACGAAAAUCGUCGAAAGGAGGCGUAUGUUCGCUUUGGGGCUCGUUUGACCCUCCAAAUGGUCCGGACAAGCCGUGAUGGCUAACCGUAUGCAUAGACAAGGUUUUGACGAACAUCCACGAAAAUUUUUUGGCAUUUUUGACGUCAGAAUCCGGAUCACCCAAAAAAUGAUGUGCUAUAGCACACGAAAAUUGUCGAAAUGAGGCGUAUGCUGCUUUGGGGCUCGUUUGACCCUCCAAAUGGGCCGGACAAGCCGUGAUGGCCAACCGUAUGCAUAGACAAGGUUUUGACGGACGUCCACGAAAAAAUUUGGUAUUUUUGACGUCGGAAUCCGGAUCACCCAAAAAAUGGUGUGCUAUAGCACAGAAAAUCGUCGAAAUGAGGGGUAUGCUCGCUUCGGGGCUUGUUUGACCUUCCAAAUGGGUCGGACAAGCCGUGAUGGCCAACCAUAUGCAUAGACAAGGUCUUGACGGACGUCCACAAAAAAAUUUGGCAUUUUUUACGUCGAAAUUCGGAUCACCCAAAAAAUGAUGUGCUAUAGCACACGAAAAUCGUCGAAAUGAAGAGUAAAAGAGGAAAGAAUAUUAAUAGUUAAGAUGUACUAAAUAAUUAAUUAUAAAACAACACUUGUAUAAAAAUUCAAGAAACUUCAUUUGAACGAAACGAACUAUAUAUAUUCAACAUUUCAUAAUUUAUAUUGUAAAAUUAACAACAAACUCUCUUACAAGUUGCAACAACACAAUAUUACACAUGCUAUACUUGCUACCAACACAAGAAGGACACACCUUAGAAAAUUACAACAUUUGAAAUAUAAACAAUAAUAAACUCUUCUUUACAAGACAACUUUUCAUAAUUUAUAUUGUAAAAUUUAUUUAGCUAUUGGUUUAAAAAAACCAUAUUCAAGAUUGACUAUUUUCCCAAUAUUGAUUUGAUCCACCAAAAUCCUUUAGUGUCCUUUGGGGCAUCUUCACCAUCUGGUGGAGGAUCAGCUUGAGGUGUCUUGUGAAGUUUGCUCACAUCAUAUCCUACUUCUUUUGCCUUCUCAACAAGUUGGUUGUAUAUUUCUUCAUCAAGAUGUGGUUGCCUACAUAAUAUCUAUAAACCAGAAUAAACAUUUUGUUAAAAACAUAUAAUAUGAUCAAGCAGAAGAUAUCUAUAGAUAAAUCUCCUCGGAAAACAUGUUAUAAAACUAUACUGAAUAACUUACUUAUAAGACUAUUGAAUAAGUUGUUAUUGUAUCUUAACUCCACUUAAGUUUAUGAUAAGCAUUAUGUAACUAGCUUCCUCCCAAAUAUUCAUAUCCAACCAUAUGUUGUUUUUCAAAAUAUCAACAACUAAGGUUUAGUGAACUUACCCAAAGAUAUUUCUUACUAGGCUGACCAAUCAAAGCAUAUUGAUAAUCAUCAUCAAUAUAUAAAACCCAAUAAUCACCAACAAUAGGAAUAAUUGGCAAGAAAGGUGGGAUAUAAAAUUUCACUUUAAGUUUUGCUUCAUCACUUUUUGGAUCAGCUUUAUAGGCAGUCCCUUCAAUUGAACCUCUUUUACCACCACUCCAUGUUUCAUUUAACACAUGUACUGUUCCAUCUUGGUUUAAAGUGUAAGUGGCUCUUGUGUUUACACCAUCUUUUGGUUGAUUUCUUGAUGGAAAUGAGGCAAUUUCAUACCAUCUUCCCAUGUAUUUUUCAACAUCCAAAUUCUUCACUACUUCCAUCUCUUUUGUGGUCAUAUUUUUUUGCAAAAUUUCAAAGUGUAGUAUAAGGGUUUUGGUCUCUUUUGAAUUGGUUUCUUGAUAAGGUUUAAGGUGAUGGGAGACAAAUAUAUAAUGGUGAAAUAGGGUGGAGUGUCAAAUUUCAAGAAAGUACUAGUGUCUUCUUUUCCAAGAAAAGGGUUUUUGUAAUAUUAAUUUCUUCAUUUCAAAAUUUAUUUGUAAUAUUUUUCUUUUUAAUUUGUUUUAAAAUAGAAGUAUCCUUUUUUUGGUGUCAGUUGAUUGAUUAUUUGAGCUUUUAUCUUAUUCGUUAAAAUUUAAUUCCCCAUUUUUUCCUUAUCUUACUCCUAACAAAAAUAAUUUACUUAAAAGAUAAUACUUUCCAUGUAAUAUUUUUAAAAUUAUGAGAGUAGAUAAUAAUAUUUUACAUAUUUUAAAUUCACAAAAUUGACAACUUUUUUUGCUUUUUUAGAUUUUAUUUCAAACUAAAAUCAAACAAACAAACAAUACAGGAUUUUAAGUUUUUUUGUUCUUUCAGAGAUUGAAUUCUUGAUAAGGUUUAUUGGGAUGAGGAGAUAUUGUGUGCUGUGAAAUAUUUGUGGAUAUAGACGUGGACAUUCAAGCACCUUACAAGUGUAAUGAUUGACCUUUUUUGGCAGAUUGUUCAAUGGCAGGUUCUAGAAUUCUGUUCAAUAUAAUACAGUGGGCUGUUUAAAUUAUUUUUUCAUUUUAAUGGUAAUUUCUUUCUUUUAAUAAUACACAUCCUAGAAUACAAAAUUAUUCUAGAAGGUGAUUGUUAACUUAAGACAUUCUGAGAUUAUUAUUUUUAGUAAAUACUGGUAAAUCAACUUAAAUGGUACACUUGAUAUAUUUCAUUUUUAGAAUACAGCUCUUUCUUUAUUAAACUGGAACUACACGCAUUUCACCUAGCAUUAGAGAACUCAAAAUAUAGAAUAUUGAAAUAUAGCUGAUCUCAAGUCCCAACUAUUUGGGAUGGCCAUAGUUGAGGGGCUAUGUUGAGUAUAUUAUUGACAUGUUGUUAUAAGUAACAAAUACUCUCUAUUUAUCAAUUUAAGUUUUUAAAUGAUAUGAUCACACGAUCAUUAGCAUUUUGCAAUGCGAGGUCUAUUAGUCACGCAAGAACUCAUUGGCUAUGUAAGUUUAACAGAGAGACAGAGACACAAAAGCCUCAUUCAACUAGAAUAAUCAAGGUAACAGGGAAGGCUCAGAUUCUCUUUUCUCAAAGAGCUUUAAAACUGGAUCUUUUCUCUUAAAAUCUCAGGAGGAAAAUGUCUGAUUCAUCUUUCACAAACAACAGUCUUCAUAGCCUCUAAAAAAGUGAAACAGAGGGAGUACUAAAUCAAUCAACUAAGGGAGGAGGUUUGGCAAUUGGAAAGAAAGAAAGACAUAAGGAGACUGAAUCAUACAUCAUGGAGGAAACACUUCAAGCUUCCUCCUUUUUUGAGACUGCUCUGUAAUCCAAAAGAGCAAAGUCCUGAAGAGCGAAGAAAGGGCUAUUUGAGAUGUUUACAGUAAUGGAGAAAUUAUUGGCUAAUGCAGAUAGAGGCAACUGCCCUUUCAACAAAAAUCCACUAACUCUCCGGGGCCUCAUUUUAUCCCUUGCGAGCUUUCUUGUUGAGAAGAGAGAGAGAGAGAGAAGAGGCAAAAAAGACUCAAGUUUAGAAUGCAGGAAAUGAAAAAAAUAGUCCCUUGUGUUUGAGAGUAGGUUCAAUGUAGCCUCUUAAGCAUGCACUGGCCUGUUUUGGUCUUCUAUAUUUGUCAUGGAACCAGUACCUAAAUAUUCAGAUUAAUUCAAGAAAACUUCUAAAAGAUACUGUUUCAGCCAUCAAACGCAAGUUAAACUGAGGUAAGGAGGCUCAGACUUUCGCCUAUUUAAUCAAAGAGCAGAGCUUAACCAGCCAUGGCUGCAAAUAUUGGUUGCCUCGUGAGAAAGGACUACAAGAAACCUACUAUUUCUCAUCCUUCUUCACAGACCUUCCAAGUUGUCUUUGCCAAGCCAGGCCUUGGACUUUACUAAAACAUUUUCAGUCUUAUAAAGAUAAUCUUCAUAGCCUCAGUAUUUUUGGAUUUUCAAGAUAUUGAAAAGGGCAUCAAAUUUGAGGAAGAAAAUGUGACACUUCAACUGAAAGACAGAUAAAAUCUUGUCAUGUUAGUAAUCUUGCACAGCCAAAGCAACUGCUCAAAGGUCAUUUUUCUGACAAAUAAUUAAAUAGAACAAAGAGCACAAAACCUUCUGAGUUAAAUUUUGCCUUAAUUGGCAAAGACAACACUCUACUGCUUUGACUCAUUCCUGCAGAGUUCAAAGUCUUACUUUUCAAGAUAAUAUAGAUAAAUGUGGCAGGUUUAAUCAAGUUACACAUGAAUAUACUUUUCUAGCAAUAGCAUGAGCUGGCCAGUUUUGUUUGUUAUAGAGAGAAUUUAACAGGAGAGAACCGUAAAGUUGCAAUUCAUGGGUUCAUAUACUUCAAGUAUCAAAAACAACAUAAGCAACCAAUCUUUAUGACAGAAUUUUCUAAAAUCAAUAAAUUGAGGUUCAGAUCUGUGUUUACCUCUGGCAGAAAGAGAGUUCAACGAUGCCAUGGCUGCAAAAACCAACAGAAAAUGUGGUGCAUGCACUUCCAAGAUAUGGGUCAAAUAAUCUCAAAUGCCCGAUUACUAUAAGCUUAGGAGGGAAUGAAAGAUGUACAAAAUCAUCAUCGCCUCUUUCCAUCAAUUAUACUCAUCGCCACCUGAAUAACUUGUCUCAAAGGCGGAUCCAGGAUUAACUUUUCUCCGGAGGUGAAUCCAGACUUUGUUUAUUGGGCUAUUGAUAGAUUAUUACACAUUUUAGCUGAAGUUAAAACAAAUACAAGGUUUUGGCCUAGGUUUUGCUGAAUUGAUACCUUCCAAACAUCAGAGAAAGUACAACAAUUACAUACCCAGUGUAAUACCACAAGUGGGUUGGGGGAGGGUAGAGCAUACGUAGACCUUACCCCUACUUUGUAAAGAUAGAGAGGCUGCAUCCAAUAGACUCUUGGCUCAAGUAACACACCUCAAAACAGCCUGGCAACACCAUGACAGAGAGAAAGUGAGGCUCAGAUAUGUAAUAAGCUCGAGCAAAAAGAGUCUGGUGAUGCCAUGGCUGCAAUAACCACCAGAAACUCUGGGAGCAUGCCCUGCCAAGAUACGGGUUGGAUAAUCUCAAAGAUUGAUUGAUAAGCACAUAAAGGUAAAAAAGAUUUACAAGAUCCUCAUUUGCCUCUUUCAAGUCGUCAAUUAUGCUCACCACCACCUGUAUAACUCUAACGGCUAACCAGUCUCCAAGCAAGCAAACCCUAAAUACAGAUAUAUUUUUCAAACUGACAUAAAGGCUCAGAUCUGUUUUUAGGUCGGGCGAAAAGAGAGUCCAGCAAUGCCAUGGAUGCAAAAACAACCAGAAAAUCUGGGAGCAUGCUCUGUCAAGAUACGGGUCAGAUAAUCUCAAAUGCCCGGUUAAUCAGUUCAAAGGGGAUGAAAAUUCAACAAAAUCAUCAUUGCCUUUUACAAACUAUUGAUGAUACUCGCCACGUACACCGCCAAAAUUCAAUGGUCCAGCAGAAGCAUUUACAAAAGAGAGAAUAGAUGGCAUUAGCAUGCAUAGCAUGAAAGGAUAUGAAACCCUUAAUAGUACUCCCUCAGUAAGAUUGAUAAAAAGGCUGUUGAGAUUCUUACAUUGAUUGGACUCACCACCAUCGUUUCUACCAGUCCCACCAGCAGCAUUCAAUGCUCCAGCAGAAGCAUUGAAAAAAGUAAAAAAAAAAAGUUGAAGGGCACACAGAAACCCUCUGCAAAAAUAUGUAAUAACCAUCCAACAGAGCUCCUAACAAUACACUCAAACAACAACAACAAAUAACAACAUUCCCAGUGUAUCACACAUGUGGGAUUUGAAUGCAACCUUACCCUGCAGAAGGUCUGUUAAUAAUAUAUUCCAUCUGUUAAAGUUGAUACAAGGAUUGUUGGGUUUCUUAUAGUAAUGGAGAAAUCAUUGGCUGAUGCAGAGAACGGUAACCACCCUUUCAAUGAGAAAUCUCGUAAGCACAUUGUAGCCUCAUUCUUUCUGUUUUGAGCUUUUGUUUUGUACAUUUCCCUAACCUUUUGCUUCCCCAAACUGAUAGAGAAAGUGAGGCUCAGAUCUGUGUUAAGCUCAGGUAGAAAGAGAGUCCAACCACACCAUGGCUGCAAAAACCACCAGAAAUGCUGGUGGCAUGCCCUGCCAAGAUACGGAUGGAUAACCUCAAAUGCCUGAUUAAUCCGUCAUAAGUGAAUAAAAAUUGACAAAAGUCAUCAUUGCCUCUUUCAAGCCGUCCGAUUAUACUCACCACCAUCGCUUCCACCAGCUCCACCAGAAACAUUCAAUGCUCCGGUGAAAGCACUAAAAAAAAAAAGAAAAAAAAAGUUGAAGGGCAUAGAAACCCUUUGAAAUGUUAUGUAACAACCAUCCAAACAAGCUGUUAAUUAUAUACUCCCUCCAUUUAAAAUUUGAUAAAAGGAUGGUUGGGAUUCCACAGUAAUGGAGAAAUCAUUGGCUAAUUUCAGUGAGAAGCAACCACCCAUGGAACAAAAACCCUCAAAUCCCUGUAGCCUCAUUCUUUCCCCUCUGAGCUUUUGCUUUAUUCAUUUCCUAGAACUUUUAUAACUUAAAAUUGACUAAAGGGUUAUUGGGUUUCUUACAGUAAUGAAGUUCAGUAAAUUGAGGCUCAGACAUGUGCUUAAGCUCAAGCAAAAUGAGAGUCCAACCACGCCAUGGCUGCAAAAAUCACCAGAAAAUCCAGGAGCAUGCCCCGCCAAGAUACGGGUUGGAUAACCUCAAAUGCCCGAUUAAUCAGCUCAGAAGGGAACAAAAAUGGACAUAAAUCAUCAUCGCCUCUUUCAAGCCGGCCGAUUAUACUCACCACCAUCGCUUCCACCAGCUCCACCAGCAACAUCCAAUGCUCCGGCCGAAGCAUUAAAAAAAGAAAAGAAAAAAAAAGAGUUGCAAGGGCAUAGAAACCCUUUAACAAUAUAACAACAAUCCAAGCAAGCUGUUAAUAAUAUACUCCACUCCUUCAUUAAAAUUGAUAGAAGGAUAAUUGGGCUAUUUACCUUAAUGGAGAAAUCAUUGGCUGAAUAUAGAGCGAGGCAAUCACCCAUUCAAUGAGAAGUCCUCAACUCUCUAUAGCCUCAAUCUAUCCCUUUAAAGCUUUUCCUGUGUUCAUUUUCCUAACCUUUUGUUUCCCUAAACUGACAGAGAAAGUGAGGCUCAGAUCUGUAUUGAGCUCAGGCAAAAAGAAAGUCCAAUAACGCCAUGGCUGCAAAAACCACCAGAAAAUCUGGUGGCACGCCCUGCCAAGAUACGGGUUGGAUAACCUCAAAUGCCCGAAUAAUCAGCUCAGAGUUGGGAUCCUGACAGUAAUGGAGAAAUCAUUGGCUGAAUGUUUAGAGAGGCAACCACCCUUUCAAUGAAAAAUCUUCAACUCUCUGUAGCCUCACUUUCCCUUCUGAGCUUUUUGCUUUUUGUUUCUCAACUCACGAAAACUUCCUUCAUACCAAACAAACCCUUAACGUUAGGCGGCGAAAAAAGAGCCCAAGCAGAUUAGAGAAAAAUUGAGACUCAGAUCUGUUAAGCUUGGGCAACAAGAGAGUCCAACCACGCCAUGGCUGCAAAAACCACCAGAAAAUCUGGGAGCAUGCCCCGCCAAGAUACGGGUCAGAUAACCUCAAAUGCCCAAUUAAUCAGCACAGAAGGGAAUAAAAAUUGGCAAAAAUCAUCAUCGCCUCUUUCAAGCCGUCCGAUUAUACUCGGCACCAUUGCUUCCACCAGCUUCACCGGCAACAAUCAAUGCUCCGGCAAAAGUAUUAGAAAAAAGAAAAAAAAAAGAGUUGAAAGGCAUAAAAACCAAUUUCAAACAAAAGCUGUUAAUUAUAUACUUUCUUUGUUUGAAAUCAAUAAAAAGGCUGUUGGGAUUGUUACUGUAAUGGGGAAAUCACUGGCUUGAAAGCAGAGAGAGGCAACCACCCUUUCAAUGAAAAAUCCUCAAACUCACUGUUAGCCUCAUUCUUUUCCUUCUAAGCUUUUGUUUAUAGUACCCUGAAGCUGUUAAGAAUACUCCCUCAGUUAAAAUUAACAAAGAGACCGCUAAAUUGAGGCUCAGAUCUGUUUUAAGAUCAAGCAAAAAAGAGAGUCAACCACGCCAUGGCUGCAUAAACCAGCAUGCCCCACCAAGAUACGGGUUGGAUAACCUUAAAUGCUCAAUUAAUCAGCUUAGAAGGGAAUAAUAUUGACAGAGCUCAUCAUCGCCUCUUUCAAACCGUUUGAUUAUACUCACCAUAGCUUCCACCAGUUCCACCGGCAACAUUCAAUGCUCCGGCAGAAGCAUUAAAAAGGAGUUGAAAAGAAGAGCUGAAGGGCAUAGAAACCCUUGAAACAAUAUGUAACAACAAUCCAAACAAGCUGUUAUUUAUAUACUCUCUCCAUUUAAAACUGAUAAAAGGGUUUGGGAUCCUUACAGUAAUGGAUAAUUCAUUGGCUGAAUUUGAGAGAGGCAAUCACCCUUUCAAUGAAAAAUCCUCAACUCAUUUGUAGCCUCAUUCAUUCCCUUCUGAGCUUUUUGUUUUUUUGUAUCUCAACUCUCGAUAACAUUUUCCUUCAUACCGAACAUACCCUAAAUAUAAUAAAAAAGGCCAAGCUGAACAGAGAAAAAUUGAGGCUCAGAUUUGUGUUAAGCUCAGGCAACAAGAGAUUCCAACCAUGCCAUGGCUGCAAAAUCCACCAGAAAAUCUGGGAGCAUGACCCUCCAAGAUAUGGGUUGGAUAAUCUCAAAUGCCCGAUUAAUCAGCUCAGAAGGGAAUAAACAUUGGCAAAAAUCAUCAUUGCCUCUUUCAAGCUGUCCAAUUAUUCUCAGCACCAUUGCUUCCACCAGCUCCAGUGGCAACAAUCAAUGAUCCAGUGGAAGCAUUAAAAAAAAGAUGGAAAAAAGAGUUGGAAGGGCAUAUAGAAACCCAUUUCAAACAAAAGUUGAUAAUCAUAUACUUCCUCUGUUUAAAAAUUAUGAGAGGGUUGUUGGGAUUCUUACAAUAAUGGAGAAAUCAUUGACUGAAUGCAGAGAGAGGCAACCACCCUUUCAACGAAAAUCCUCAAACUCCCUGUUAGCCUCAUUCUUAUAGUACCCUGAAGCUGGUAAUACUACCCCUCAGUUUAAAUUGACAAAGAGACCAGUGCAUUGAGGCUCAGAUCUGUGUUAAACAAGAGUAUAAAGAGAGUCCAACCACGCCAUGGCUGCAAAAACCAGCAUGCCCCGCCAAGAUACAGGUCGGAUAACCUCCAAUGCUCAAUUAAUCAGCUCAGAAGGGAAUAAAAGUUACAAAAAUCAUCAUCGCCUCUUCCUAGCCAUCCGAAGCAAUAAAAUCAACUGUUAGAAAAAUAAUAGGAAAUAUAAUUGAAGAAGAAGAUGGAUUUAAGGCGUGAAGAAUCACUUUCCUUAAAGAGAUAUUGCACGUAUACAUAUUGGGAAAAAUACUAGCAACUGCCUUCAAGAUACAACAAAGUCCUUAUAUAUACAUGCAUAUUUUUCUUUUAGGGCUACUUUUGGAGAGUCCAUACAUUUAUAAACCUUAAGAGAUCGACUUUUCAUAACAGUCAUGUUCUUUCAUGAACAAAAAUGUGUCUGUUCAAUUUAAGGCCUCUAUAUAUUGCAAAAUAUCCAACAACAUACUCAGUAUAGUCUCAUAUGGUGGAUUUGAGAGAGUAGAAUAUAUGGAUAUCUUACCCCUACUUUAGAGGUAGAGAGGUGAUUUUCAAUAGACUCUCGGCUUAAGAAAAACAAUCCAAAGCAGUCCAGAAAGAGCAACAAAACAUAUUGAGCAGUAACUACAAAAAUAUAUGAUAGUCGAAGUACAAGAAACUUCCAAUAGUAACAAAAUGAAAAGACAAGAAACUGUAUGAGUAAUAUUAUGACCACUAGUAUGGGCAGAUAGCAAGACAAUGCACAACUAGUCUACUACCUACGAACCUCCUACCCUGAUCCAUGUCCUUGACAAUAUGUAACCACAAUCCAAACGAGAUGUUAGGUUUGUCCAAGAUAUUUUAUAAAAUUUUUCUGGAGUUGAACACUGAAAAACAAGUUUGGCCAUAAAAUUUGGACUUCAACCAUAGGAUUUGAAAAAAAGAAGAAGAUUUUUUUAUUUUUUUUCACUCCAAAUUACUCACAAAAAGUCAAACACGACUCCAAUUUGUAUUCAUAGCAAAAUGCAACUUUAAUUUUCAAAUAUAAUUUUUCAUUUUGCAAUCAAACACUACAUUUUUUUACAAAUUUUGCAAUGAAACAUGACCAAAACAAACUAAUAUACUUCAUUAUAAAUUAAUAAAAGAGUUGCUAGGUUUCUUACAGUAUGGUGAAUACAUGGGCUGAAUGCAGAGAGACUCAACCACCCUUUCAACAUAAAAAUCCUCAAAAUCCAUGUUAGCCUCAUUUUUAAUUUAUGAAUAAUAGCUUAUAGUACCCUGAAGCUGUUAAUAAUACUCCCUCAAUUGAAAUUGAUGAAGAGACCAGCAAAUUGAGGCUCAGAUCUGUGUUAAGCUCGAGCAAAAAGAGAGUCCAACCACGCCAUGGCUGCAAAAAAAAGUAUGCCCCGCCAAGUUACGGAUCAGAUAACCUCAAAUGCUCAAUUAAUCAGCUCAAAAGGGAAUAAAAAGGGACAAAAAUCAUCAUCGCCUCUAUAAAGACACCAAUUAUAAUCACCCCACCGGCAACACUGAAUGCUCAGGCAUAAGCAUAAGUAUAAAGAAAUAAAAAGGGAAAAAGAGUUGAAAGGCCAUAGAAACCCAUUUCAAACAAAGCUGAUAAUUGUAUAUUUCCUCUGUUCAAAAUUGAUAAGAAAAAGGUUGUUGGAAUUCUUAGAUAAAUGGAGAAAUCAUCGGCUGAUGUAGAGAGUGGCAACCACCCUUUCAAUGAGAAAUCCUUAAACUCUCUUUAAGCCUCAUUCUUUCCCUUUUGAGCUUUUUGCUUUGUCCAUUGCCCUAAGGUUUUGCUUAUAUAGUACCCAACACUUGAACUAAAAUACUCCCAUCUUUACCAGAGGAACAGUAUCUUCAUUAAAAAAAUCAACUUUAAUCUUGUUGAAAGUAUAAAAUAACAAUUUCUUUAGGACACAGAGAUUUGCAUUUACAAUUUUUAGAUUCUUUUUAAUAUAAUUUUCUCAGUCAAGAUAGUUCGAAUAUAGUUCGAAUAUGUGAAAAUGAGAUGUACAGGUGUUCCGAUGCGAAGGUAUGAUGAUGGAUAAUCAAAUUUCCAUGAAGUUUCUUGUUGUUCCAUCCCUUUUAAUAUUUCUUGCACUUCAUUGUAUAAUUUUGAUACUGAUUGUUCCUUUUUUAGUUUGUCAUAUUAUCUUCAACAUUUUACCUUCACUUUCAUUGUUCUCUUUUUGCAAAUUAUAUCAAAAACAACUUUUCUCUAACUCCAAAUAGGUUACUUUUAUACCAAUUUUUCCAACUUUACAUAUGGUCUCACUUGGCUAUAGAAGUUGUGAACAUUAUCAGCAAAAAACAGUAGAGAGAUUUCACUUUUGUUUGAAUCUCUAUGUUGCACCGGCCAUCUGUCUUUCUCUGCUUAGAUACCAAGCUUCAUAAUUCAAAUCUGUGGCAUGCAUCGUACUCACCAACUGUUGCACUCUUAUCCCUAAACAAAAGGGAUAUUUCAAACUGGCAACAUGCACCCCUAUUACACAACAAUUGUUGUACUAAUGCUGCUGGACCAAAGCCUCUAAGCCAUGGGUGGGAUGUAUUCAUAAAAACAGUGAAGGUUUAUGGUUGAACACAUUUUGAAACAACAAAGAGGAACUUUUGAAAUAUAUAAUCGUCCAAUCAAGAGUGAUGGAUAGUGUAGCCAAGUGAGAAACAGCUGGUUACAACCAUAUAUUAGCUCAUCAACUAGAAUCGUUCCAAGCUUGUCCAAGUAUGAUAUUGGCAACAGGGAAAAAGAGAGGAUCAACAAAGACAGAGCCCCUCGGCAAACUUGCCUUGUUUUGCAAUUCUUUUUUGCAUAUAUCAAACAAUUACCUAUUUUCAAACUUAAAUAAUGUUAGACCCUUUCAAUUAGAAUACAUAGCAGCAGCAAGAAGCUGAUUAAAUACAUAAAAAUACAACUAUUAUAACAAUAUUUUUAGGUUAAAGUCUAACAAGACUAUCAUUUCCCUCCAGAAAGGAAGUGAACACGUUCGAGACUGCUAAACUACUUCUAUACAACAACAACUAAGCCUCAAUCUCAAGCAAGUUGGGAUCGACCAUAUGAAUCAUCACUAUCCAUGUCGUUUCAUCAAGAGUCUGUGCCAGUCUAACAUUAUUGAAAAUAAUAAUAAGAUUUAGUAUCCUCUUUUAUUGCUUCACUUGAUUCUUCCAUGACGUUAAUUCAGAAGGGAUCAAGUCCUCAUUACAUGAAAGAAUAGCCUGUGCCAUCAGUUUUCCAAGCAAAGCAUGGUAGAACAAGCCCCUGGAACCAAGCCCUGUAAAUAACCAGUACUUACAUUCUGUUGGGCCGCCAAUGAAUUCAUCUACACAACCCAAGAGUGGAAGUGAUCCUUCUGCAGUGAGUGGCGGCAUUGCCCUUAGCCCUGCACAUGUUCCUUUUACAGUCCAAUUCUUAAUAGCUGGAUAAACAGCAGAUGCCUUCGGGAGUAACUCUGCAAGAGCUUUGGAGGCUUCUUCUUCUGGAACAUGUCUCGAAAAAUUCCUUGAUUUCCAUUCCCAUGUUGACCCCAAAUACAAUGUUUGAGGUCCUUGGACAGCAAGCCAUGCAUCUGAAAGUAUAGAGGGGCUGUUUUCUGGAUAAUCCUCUCUGAAGUUUAUCAUUCACAAAUACUUCUAAUUAGUUGCAUGUUGGAGGCAAUGGAUGAUUAAAAUAACUUGACCCUGGAUACUCAACACGGGAAAAAAAGAAGGAAGAGGACACAUGGAAAAGGUUUUGAGAGGUUUUUUGGGGGAACUUGGAAAAUGAUGAUAGGUUGAAAAUUGAUCUAGGCCUGAGCACAAGUCCCUCAUGUUAGAAAUCAGAACGGAUGAACUAAAUCUACCCAAAUACUUAUUACUCGCUACAAAUAUUUCUCAUCUAGAAAGAAGAAUGAAGGAACAGAAGGAGAUGGAAUAGCAUCACGAAGAAAGUUUGGAUCAGUUGCAGUCCACAUCCUGGCAGUUUUGGAUGUGCUUAAGCUAUUCGGGUUAAUAGUCUAAAUUGUGUCCAUGUUUCAAAAAACAUCUGCGCACCACUCCCUUGGCACACCUUGGUCUAUGGAGUGAAAUGCAGGGUUCACAAGAAUGGGAAGGUAGUUACAAUUAGCCCGUCACAAUCAUGAGAGACUAAUGUACAUCAAAGUAUAAUAUAUGACUUCAUAUCAAGCUAUCUAAAAAUAGGAAGGACAGUACUUCUCAUAAGCCUGUCACUACAUUGCUAAAGAAAUAUAUUCAUGAUAAGUGGGGAGACUACAGAACUAAACCAAUAUCGACAUUUUUCUCAACAUGAGGAUAUAUCAAGAACAUGGAGAUAUUCAAUGAGCAAUAACACCCCUAUACAUGUACCUGAUAUGAUCAGGGAGCUGCAAGUGAGCAAUAACACCCCUACACAUUCUCAAAGGAAGCCUUCCAGAGAGUUCAGGAAGAAAGGCUGCUCCAGAACCUAGACAUACAAUCACUGCAUCAUAAUCACCUGAAAAGAAUAUGCUAAUCAUUAGGAUUUGACAAGAUCAUGUAAAAACAGAACCAUCUAAUUCAUUAUUCAAUAUGCUCAAAACACUUGCACAAUCUGCGAGAAAACCCCUAUAAUAGGUCAAAACUAUAACCCGAACUUGACUAGACUCUACAGAAUAUAAAGGUGUUCAUUGUUGGAAGUCUGUCUUAACAGUAUCUUUGAUGGAGCUAGAAGUGGAGUACAAAGUUAAGUUCCUUUUGUUCAGGAAGCAAGAAACGCGGGUGAUUGUGCAACCUUCUAAUUUAGCUUUCAUAAACUUAGAGAAACAAAAUUAAUUAGUUUUACCCGUGUUCUGUUGUAUAAAGCAAGUAAAUCAUAAAGAGACAUAGUUGAUUGAUUCUUUUAGUUACCAAAAAACUGUAUCAAAAACAUAUCUACAUAUGAACUUUCACUAGGAACUGUUGUAGAAAAACUGUUUCAAAAACAUAUCUACAUAUGAACUUUCACUAGGAACUGUUGUAGAAACACUUCAUGAAGCACAUUCUCAUACUUCCCUUUCUUGAAAAAAACUUCACCAAGUUCAAAUGCAUCUUCUAUCUUUUUGAAAGACCAGAAGCGUCAAAAGUUUCUCAGGAACUGCUUUUCAGAAUAACAAAAUUAGGAUCACCUUCCAGCCUGACCUAAAAGUUAAAAAAUGUAUCUGAAAAUCCACAUGAGAAGGAAGGAGAUUGACCGAUUUUCACCAAGUAACUAGCUGAGUUAAAAUAUUCAUGCGGGGAAGUCUCCCAUUUGAACUACCAAAGGAAGCCUAACAACUUGAAUGGAGAACAUGGAAAGAGAAUACGAGAACUGAGAACUCACUUCUUGGUUACAUUCUUUCUGGUGAUACAAAACUAUUGUAGGGGCCUGAGGAAGCUAAGGUAAUUUAAUUGCAUACCUGCUAACUCUACAAGAUUAAGAACUGAUUCCUUGUGCAAAUUUAACUCUUUACAUGAAAUGCCAAAACUGCACUUGGAUUUCACAAAAGUUUUGCAUGCUAAGUAGAGAGCCUGGAAGAUAAUCAAAAAGUAAGAAAAACUUUAAUGGUAUAAAGGAAAAAGACCUAUUCAGAGUUCUAUAGUUACAAGAUUUCUCCCUUCAAACCUCAAGAUAAUUCUGAGGAUUAACAUUCACGGCUUCAGGCAUAUGGAAGGCUAAGUCCAGGGGCACACACAAUUCAGGUACAAGCUUUUGUGCAGCAUCCUUGUGGAUCGACUCAAUUCUGCAGCUGGCAAUGCAGUUUUGAGCAUUCUACUCAAGGAAAAGAAGACAAAUACCCAUAAUCAUGAAAUUACAUAUAAGUUUCUAGUCGCAUGUAAUAAGUUGAUGCACUCACAUCAUUCAUCAUGCGCAUAUUUUUCGCAGAGAGCACCGGUCUCACGAUUCCGCUGUUGAUCAUUCAAAAUUAAUAUUUUUAGACUGUAAAAAGAUGGUUAUACCUCUUCCAUAUAGUACAAAGAAAGUAUCAGCACAAUGAAGGACCAAAAGAUAGGGGAGUGGGUUAAGUGUACAUGACAGUUUCUAACUUGUGGAAGUGAACAUAUUUAAAGAAAGAAAAGGUUCACUUGUAAGCUCAGAUAAACUACUGCAGUUCAAUCACGAGUGAUGACUACUGCAGAACACACAAGUUAACAGAAACAAGCGAUUUGCUAAUAGAAUGAUAUGUUUUUUUUAUCUGAUGCUAAAGAUAAAUGGAUGUCAAAGCAAUUUUUCGCAGGGCGGAACAGUAAUUAUUUAAACUAAACUUUUUUGUCAGUAAUUUAAACUGAAAAUACUAACAUCAAACAGAAAAGGAAUCACAUUUUAACAUCUAGAAUUUGAAUUUAUUACCAAUAUAACCAAAAUUAUAUACCAAAUGUCUUAGCAGAACAGGUGAGGAUUAGCCUCUUAUCCCUUAUUCUCUUUAGGUGCCCCCAUAAGAUCCCUGUAGGUACAUAAGACUUGUGUGCUGUUUUUAGAAAAACAUAUCUUUUCUAAGUUUUCUACAUUUUGGUAUUAUAUUCAAUGUAUUCUAUUUUUGCGCAAACAUCAAUGAGAUCUUAUUAUUAUUAAAAAGAGAGAGAGAGAGAGAGAGAAACGUCCUAGCAGUUCACAUAUUGCAUGUUUUAUACUACUAACCUUCUCCUGACUAUAAAGUCACCUUCUUUUAGCCCAGUUUUAGGCAUAACCAUGUCUAAGGACUUGGAAGAUCGAGCAUCUUCAGCAACAUUUAGAAGCUUUAAACUUUCUUUCCAGCACUCUUCUCCCCGCCACAGAAGCUUAACUGCAAAUUGUGAGUUAAAUCUCAGAAAGGGAUUAUAUCAAAAUAAAUUCCUUUACUUUAAGUGAAUGCUAAGAGACGAAUAAAUGGAACUAAUUUGAAGGAAGAACUUUGAAGUUCAAUGAGUUGUCUCCUCCUGAUAAAAAACCGUUCGCAUGUACCUUUGGGGGAAUAGGGAUGAAGGAGUCCACCAGACAUUCCAGAUGCACCUCCACCAAUGCCAACUUCAUCAUAUAUGUCUAUGCAAAAAUUUGAUUCCUCUGAAGUUUGCUAUGCAACACAAAAAAGAUGCAGCAGCUGUAAUUAGCGGCCUAUGCUAAUUGAAUAGAAAAGGAAAAAAGAAGCUGCCAUAUGUAACUUGGCAUUAAGACUCACAGAUAAAACUAAUCUGUCAACGGAAUUAAGUUAUAUAUGCUAAUAGUAUAAGGAUUUUCUAGACUUGGAUAAAACGAAUUUUUAAAAAGAAUGAUCGGGCCCAUUUGGACAACUUAUUUUUUUGCCUCUUCUCAAAAAAAAUCCACAAAAACCUGUUUGGUUAAACAUUGUUUCAGUUUUUACUCCAAACUUGAAAAAGUGGUGCAGAGAAAUUUUCCCAUGGACAACAACAACAUACCUACCACAAGUAGCGUCUGUGGAGGGCUAUGCAGACUCUACCCUAUCUUUGUGGGAUAGAAAGGUUGUUUCCGAUAGAGGAGAACUCAUUUUCCCGCCAGGAAACUUCAAAAUAUUUUCAAGUGAAAUACAUGUUCAAACACAACUUCAACUUCGAAAUACCAAUUUUUAACUCAACUUAAAAUACAAUAUUUUACCAAUAUCACUCAAUUCAUGUCCAAAUGCCUACUAAAUACAUAUACUCCAGAUAUAUUUUACAAAUUAAUUACCCUAUUUCUAAGGUUACCAAUCUACUUAGUUAAACAAUUACAUGUAAUUAGCUAACAUAAACUAACAGCAUUGGUUUCAUUCAGUGCGUUCAAAAUAUAAAGUAAACAUACGAAAAACCAAAGGGGUUUACUAAAUGUACAUCAAAAAACAUAAUCUAAACAUGCUUAAACAAUGUAAUUUCCGUGGGGUUAGGAUAACUCUUUUGGCGCUACCUGGUUCCGCCCCUGCCUAGCAUUAUAACUUAAAAGCCUUUUCACCUUAGGAUUAAUGCAAAAGUUAUUAACUUUGUUGUCUCCUAAUAAAGUGCAAGAAGAACUCCAUAGGCAAUAACUAUAUGUAAAGACAAAGUAGGGAAUUGGGGAUACUUGCAACAAAUGCCAAACCACAGACAAUCCAGCAAAUCCAGCACCAAGAACAGCAUAUCUGAAUAUAAAUCCAAUUCCAAACAAAACAUUAAGUCAGGAAAAAAAAAAGAAGAAAAAACCAAUUUAUAUAUGGCUUAUUUACUAACCUGAGAGGCUUUUGUGAAACAGCAGAAAAACAUCUGACAGACAAGAAUGAAGAAGAAAAAGACACCCUUUUGUGAAAAGAGUGUAAAAAGCCACGACUUUGUGAUAAUUUUGUUGAAAAUAAAAAUGGGUUUUGGGUUAUAAGCGCCAUUGAAGAACCUCUUAAGGUAUUGGUAAUGGUGUCUGGUUUUGCAGGCCGCUAUGGUUUAAGACAAAGUCUUAAAACGUUAACCCGACAAUGGAAACGGAUAACUCAUUUGAGCUUUCGGAUAAAAUUUUAGUUACGUAGUAGUAUUCCUUAUUUAGUUAUCAAAAUAAGUUAUACUAUCCUAUUAAUUUAAUAAUUACCAAUAGGAUAAUUGUGGAAUUAGGUAUUUCAGAAUAAAAUAAUGAAAAUGACAAGAAUAUUGAUUUUUAAUAUACAAAACAAUUUUAUUUUUAAAAAUUAUAUCAUGCGUGCAUGAUAUUUUAAUACAAUAAAUUAAAUAAUAAUAUCAUAAUCACUAGAUAAACUCAAUAAAAUUUGUCUUUAAAUUAAACACAUUGAAAGCCUCCAAUUCUAAUAACAAUAGGACAUAAUCAAAAAAGAAAAAAAAAAUAGGACAUAAUCAAUUUUAUUUUACUUUUUAUGAGUAUAUUUUGGUGAGAUGAUAUAUUACAUUUACCAAGUAAAAAAUUUAUCACUUGUUUUUGUUGAUUUAAUAUAAUUAAACAUAUUAAUUUAAAGAGAGGUUCAUAAAAUAAAUUUUGUAGGUGUUUAAUCAUAAAAUUAGAAAGUUUCGUUACAAAUUUUGAUUAUAAAUGAGCAUUUGCACACAUAGAAGGUCAAAUUCUCCUUUUCCAAAAAAAAAAAAAAAUCUAAAAUCUAAAAUUGUAUUUUAAUUGUUUAUUAAAAAUUUGAAACUUAAUCAUUAAGUUACGUUUUCACAUAAAAAGAUUUAUAAUUUUAAAUUUUGCAAAAAUGACUCAUGUUUGUUUGAAAUCGAUAAAAAGGGUGGGUGUUACUGUAAUGGAUAAUUCAUUGGCUGAAUUUGAGAGAGGCAACCACCACCCUUUGGAUGAAAAAUCCUCAACUCCUCAUUCAUUCCCUUGCGAGCUUUUUGUUUUUUGCAUCUCAACUCUCGAUUACAUUUUCCUUCAUACCUAAAUAUAACAAAAAAAGCCAAGCUGAUUGAGGCUCAGAGCUCAGGCAACAAGAGAUUCCAACCAUGCCAUGGCUGCAAAAGCCACCUCCAAGAUAUGGGUUGGAUUAAUCAGCUCACAUUGGCAAAAAUCAAUUAUUCUCAGCACCAUUGCUUCCAGUGGCAACAAUCAAUGAUCCAGCGGAAGCAUUAAAAAGGAGAUGGAAAAAAGACUUGGAAACCCAUUUACUUCCUCUGUUUAGUGAGAGGUUUGUUGGGAUUCUUACAAUAAUGGAGAAAUCAUUGACUGGAUGAAUGCAGAGAGAGGCAACCACCCUUUCAACGAAAAUCCCUGUUAGCCUCAUUCUUAUAGUACCCUGAGGCUGGUAAUACUACCCCUCAGUUUAAAUUGACGAAGAGAAGCUCAGAUCUGUGUUGAACAAGAGUAUAAAGAGAGUCCAACCACGCCAUGGCUGCAAAAACCAGCAUGCCCCGCCAAGAUACAGGUCGGAUAACCUCCAAUGCUCAAUUAAUCAGCUCAGAAGGGAAUAAAAGUUACAAAAAUCAUCAUCGCCUCUUCCUAGCCAUCCGAAGCAAUAAAAUCAACUGUUAGAGGAAAUAUAAUUGAAGAAGAAGAUGGAUUUAAGGCGUGAAGAAUCGCUUUCCUUAAAAGAGAUAUUGCACGUGUACAUAUUGGGAAAAUACUAGCAACUGCCUUCAAGAUACAACAAAGUCCUUAUAUAUACAUGCAUAUUUUUCUCUUUGGCCUACUUCUGGAGAGUGUUUAUAUUUAUAAACCUUAAGAGAUCGACUUUUCAUAACAGUCAUGAACAAAAAAUGUAUCUGUUCAAUUUAAGGCCUCUAUAUAUUGCAAAAUAUCCAACAACAUACCCAGUAUAGUUUCAUUUUUCUCUUUUUGCAAAUUAUAUCAAAAACAACUUUUCUCCAACUCCAAAUAAGUUACUUUUAUACCAAUUUUUCCAACUGAACAUAUGGUCUCACUUGGCUAUAGAAGUUGUGAACAUUAUCAGCAAAAAACAGUAAAGAGAUUUCACUUUUGUUUGAAUCUCUAUGUUGCACCGGCCAUCUCUGUCUUUCUCUGCUUAGAUACCAAGCUUCAUAAUUCAAAUCUGUGGCAUGCAUCGUACUCACCAACUGUUGCACUCUUAUCCCUAAACAAAAGGGAUAUUUCAAACUGGCAACAUGCACCCCUAUUACACAUCAAUUGUUGUACUAAUGCUGCAGGACCAAAGCCUCUAAGCCAUGGGUGGGAUGUAUUCAUAAAAACAGUAAAGGUUUAUGGUUGAACACAUUUGAAACAACAAAGAGGAACUUUUCAAAUAUAUAAUCGUCCAAUCAAGAGUGAUGGAUAGUGUAGCCAAGUGAGAAACAGCUGGUUACAACCAUAUAUUAGCUCAUCAACUAGAAUUGUUCCAAGCUUGUCCAAGUAUGAUAUUGGCAACAGGGAAAAAGAGGAGAUCAACAAAGACAGAGCCCCUUGGCAAAGUUGCCUUGUUUUGCAAUUCUUUUUUGCAUAUAUCAAACAAUUACCUAUUUUCAAACUUAAAUACAUAAAAAUACAACUACUAUAACAAUAUUUUUAGGUUAGUAGUGACAACAUAGAGCUAAAUAGAGGCCUCAUCUAUCAGAGUAACUAUGACAUAAAGCGUCAUUUGGAUGUUAAUCCAUGGCUUACUUGAGUUACUCAUCAUUUAGGAUGAAUUGCUACAUGAACAGCAUAAACAAAUUGAUUGAAGGAGAUCAGUAUGAAUUAUCAAGACUACUAACAAGUAUGCUUUCUUGUGAAGAUCAUUAUCAAUGAAAGAGAAACCCUAAAAGAUAAUACAUAGCAAAAACAAGAAACUCACGCAGUGAAACUUCUUUUAGAUAAGUAAUUGUGACAAGAUAGUGCUAAUAGAGGUCUCAUCUAUCAGAGUAACUAUGACAAAAGAAGCUUCAUUUGGAUGUUAACCCAUGGCUUACUGGAAUUACUCAUCAUUUAGGAUGAAAUAUUUCAGGCAUAAAAGUAAACAAAUUGAAUAGAAGGAUAACUCCUAACAUAAUACAUAACAUAGAACAGAAAGUAUCACAUCUUGUACAGAUAAUACAUAAGCAGGAACAAGAACCUGACAAAAUGAAGCAUAAAAUCAACUAGUGAAACUUUCUUCAGUAGUCUAGUCAAUAGAGGUCAUCUAUCAGAGUAACUAUGACAAAAAGCUUCAUUUGGAUGUUAAUCCAUGGCUCGCUUAAAUUACUCAUCAUUUAGGAUUGAGUUCCCUUCAUGCACAGAAUAGACUAGAACUAUUGACUUUCGGUUUUGGUAAUUAGGUCAAUCACUAGUGUUUCCAAAAAAGACCACGGAAAAAAUCUCAAGAAUUAGUGGUAUCCACAAAGCAAGCAACAACUGCAAAAUUUGCAUAAACUAUAAAAAUGAUCUUACUCCCAUAUAAUUUAUAAAUACACUGUCCUGCUCAAAAAAGAUUUAUGAUUUGGCUUAUAUUCUAACAACACAAACUGUAGUGCUCCUGCAUAAAUUGAUGCAUGUUAAAAAAUGAACAAUUGACGAAAUUAUGAACUUUCACCUAUAAGAAAACUAAAGCAUAUCAGCAACAAAGUAACUCAAAAAUACAUGUUAGUACUCAAAUGCCUAGGUUUCUAGACAAAGUGAAACACAUUUGGGCACAGGCUUUGUGAUUACUAUACAGAGUUCAUAAACAGAGAAAACAAGGGAUGACAUUAAGGCACACUUAUCUCAGAGAAAGAGCUUUCCUAUUCAUCAUAAUUGAAAAAAAAAUAGUUUCAUGUAUCAAAAAGGAACAUAUUUAUCAAAAGAAAGAAACUCAAAAAUAGGAGUUAACAUUCCUAAGUUCCUAGUCUAACAUUUUUAGGCACAGUCGUAUCCAAGAAGCACCUUUAGGAACACCUAUUUUUUAUCUGAGAAUUGAUAGCAAAAGAACCCAUGGGCUGUCAAACUCAGGAAUUCAUUUCCUGAGCCCAAAAAACUUAUUCUUUUAAAGAAAUCAAGCAACAAGGUAGGUAAGCUUUUAGUUGUUGGAGAAUUAUGAGACAGAAAAGGAAGACAAAAAUGGAUCUUCCUCCUCCACUUUUCAGACUCAUCUGGAGCUGCCACACCAAGAUAGAGUCAUUCUAGCUCAAUGAGUUUAUAUGUCUGUUUCAUCUUCCAAAGAAGACAAGAAACUUUAAUUCUUCAUUGCCUCCUUGAACAUAAUUUGAGACGUAGGAAGUAGCAACCAAAAAAAAACAUAGGGUGUAACAAAUGGAAGGGUGUUUUUUGUAAUCAUUUGAGUGAUCAUCGGCAUCAAAGAGUAACAGAGAGCGGCAAACCACCCAUUGGAACUCCCUAAAGCUCUCUGCUUUUACACAGCCUCAGACUCAAACUAAUGAGAUAAGGCUCAGAUUCGCCUUUUCUCAGACAAAACCAAAAAGCUUUUAAAAAGACAGCGUCAUGGCUGCAAUCUUCAGUUAGAUUUAUGAGACAGAAAAGAAUACUUUCUCCUCCAUUCUCACCAGACCCAUCUGAACUGCCACGCCAAGAUACAAUUUUUUUCCAGCUCAAUGGAAAUAUAUGUCUGAUUCAUCUUCCAAAGAAGACAAAUUCUUUCAAAUCUUCAUAGCCUGACAGAUUGGGACUGAGGGGUAACAGCAAUUGGGAACAAAGGAAGGUCUAGUGGAAGUUCACCAAAAGGGUGGUUUUUUGCAAUCAUUUUGAGUGAUCAUCGGCAGCAGAGAAUAACAGAGUGGCAAAACCACCCAUUGAAACUCCCUAAUCCUCUGUGCUUUCACCGCCGCCUCAUACUUAAACUAAUGAGAUUUGUGCUAUUUUCAUGUCAAUGCUGCUUCUUAUAUUGUGCCCUAAUCAAUUGGGCCUUACUUGAAAAGCCCAUCUCGUCGGGUCGAAUUCAAUUGACCACAAUUGGAGGAAGAAGAUUAGGGCUUGUAGCCGUUGAUUAUACUCACCAGUCACCAGCAACGGCAACACUGAAUUUUCCGGUGGAAACAUAAAGAAAAAAGAUCAUAUUUGUGCAAAUUUCUGUAUGAAAAAAGAACAGUUCCAAAUUUCCAGAAGAAAGGGUUGUUUGGAAUUGUCACAGAGAGAAGCAAACCACCCUUCAAUGAAAAAUCCUUAAACUCUCUGUAAGCCUGAUUCUCUCCCUUCUGAGCUUUUUUUGCUUUCUUCAAUUAUCAAAAAGAGCUGGUUUUUGAUCGACUCUCCAUUCAAGUAAAGGAGAAUCAAUACUAUAAAAUAUUGGGAAGAAAAAAUAUUUUUAACAAGACAAAGAUUACAUUAUACUGUAUUAUUUUGAUGAAACACAAUAUUAAAUUUAGAAUGCCAUGCACCAACAAUACAAAGAAUAAAAACACAAGAUAACAGGUAAGAGUAAUUACAACAAAAGUAAAGCCUAAAAUGGGAUAUUACAAGUUCAAGCCCAAGAAAGUAUGCUCUUUGAUCCACCACUACUACUGACCGAGCUCAAAGUAGCUGUUACAAGUCAAACACUAUGAACUUGGAAAACAUAAUUAACAAAAAAAAAAAGUGAUCUAUCCACUGUUACUAUCCGCUUUUAGGUCCACGACUAUUAUCGACUCAAUCCCAAAGUAGGAAAAUAACAGACUAAAGCGAGGAGUUCAUUAGCCAUACAUAGUUAAGGAGGAGACAUUCCCCAUGCUGCGGUUCGGAAAGGUCUUCCCAAGCAGGUCACUGGGAGCUAAGACAGGCCAAUGUUUGACUCGUUGUCAAACUCAACGCAGAUAAGGGCAGACAGCAAAAUGGGGCAUCCAUCGGCAGAAGAGAUGUGAAAAAUCAACAAAACUAAAAGUAUAUGAGCAAUAUUUAUGACCAGAAAGAAUAUGUAAAUGAAAAAUAGCAACUCCUUUUGCCAUCUUGCAAAAAGGGAAAAGUAACAAAGAAAGGAAUUGUGAAUUACUGGUACUUAAUACAAGACUCAGAUCAGUUUAUCACAGCUUCCAUGGCUGCAACCUAGAGCAGGUUGCCCUGCGAAGUUGCUGAGUCUUAUCAUCUCAAUGCAAACAAAUAUUGCUAUUUGUCAAAAAAACAUAUCAUCACUGCCUCGAUUUUUCACUUCUUUUUUAUUGGAGCGUGAUUCUCGCUGUUUAUGUGUUAAUGCAGCCACAAAGCAGCACGGUGAGAACCAAUAGCAGUAAAAGAUAAUUAUUUAUGUGCAUCUUCUCAAGCUAGAGUUACAAGAAAGAGCUAGCCGCUGUUACUUACUUCCAGCAAGAUUUCACAUCUUGGCCUUACCAGCAAAACCGAAUCAAAAAAUAAAUUAUUCACAUUUCUCAUCAAUGAUGUCUCAUUUAACGAUUUCCCCAUCAAACAAUGUCCAGAAGAAUUACUGGCAAUUUUGACACUCGCAGCUGGCUACUAAUGAAUGGUCAAAGAGAGAGAGGAGACAACGCCAUAGCUGCAAAAGAACCAGUUGCAUGUGAUCGAGGAGUCUCAAAUCACAUACCAUCAUGGGUUUUUGCCAAGCCAAGAUACAGAUCUACUUGUCUGUAAACCCGAACAACCUUUUUUUAAGCCAAGAUAAGCAAAUAUCAUCUGCUUCGUUGAUUCUGGUAGCAUAGGAUUCGGGGAAUUUGAGAUGCUUUGGACCUGAGCUCAUAAAUCAGAAUGAGGUCCAACUACUGCUGCUGCUGCUGCUGAUGUUAAUGCUCCCUCUGUUUUCUAUAGUGAAGAAAGGAAAAGGACUAGAAGAGGGCUGUUGGUUUUGGUAAUGGAGAAAUGAUGCAAGAGGCUCAGAUUAUGUCUUCGGGCUUUGAGUUCUUUGUGCCCAGCCAUAGCUGCAAAUUUCCAGAAAUUCAGAUUGCCCCGCCACAGCAGCUACAGAACUCUUAUGCCCGACUCAAAGAGCUCAGCAAAACUAUCAUCAUAGCCUCAUUGUUUCCUCUUGCUGGCAUUAUGAACAUGUACUCUGUUUGCAUUGCAUUGAAACAGAGCCAGUGAGGACCGACAACCGAAACAUAUGCACAAUGCAUUAGAUACACAAGAAAUAUGCAUAUGCAUAAACAGUCGUCUAGUUAAAAAUAAAAGCAAAAAUAAGUCAGCAGAAUGUCAGAGAUGGCCAUCCACACGGAGAAGUUCAACACAAAGAGAAAUCACCAGAACGUCUGAGAUGGUCAUCCACACAGAGUAUCAUCUCUCACAGUAUUAUUAUUGUUUAUUUAUUUUCUUGUAUAUUUCGAAGUGCUGUUGGUCUUUUUGGUUAUCAAUGGAGAAAUCAUGGGCAGAGAGAGGGCAACCACCCUUUGCAGAAAAUCCCAAUCUCUCUGAUGCCUCGUUCUUCUUUCAUUCUAGGCUAUGCUUUGCUGAUACCGAACAAACAAGAUUAUACAGCAAGAUGAUUUAUAGCUUUUAGUAGAAAAUCGCAGGUUCAACAUAUCUCAAAAUUGAACCAUGGAAAUAUUCUUUCCCUAUCUUUCUUUUCAAGCAAAUGGGACUCAGAUGUAUGUUAUGACAAAAGCGAAACAUAAGCCAAUCACCGGUUGCAUGCAAGAGACACAAGCAGCAAUCACAAGCCAUACCGGGUCACCACACCAAGAUACAGAUUGGAUAAUCUCAAUGCACAAAUUGGUUAGGUGUUAACUUUUGGAAAACUUCAAGGACCAAAAUUGUUAAGUGCAUAUUUAAGGGACUAUUUUGGACAUACCCUCAAACAUAAAGAGAUUUGUCAUUUUCUCCCUAAUUCUGAAUUCAGAGCCGAAAUUUCAACACACGCAAUAGGUUUUCCAACCAGGGAAUAGACUCACCAUGGAAGAUCAUGAAAUGGGUUAUUCAGGGCUCAGAUUUGUUGUAUUUCUUAACAAAGAAAAGAGAAGAACGCCACAGCCAUGGAUGCAGACACCAGUUUGCUAUUCAAAGCCAUAACCGGGUCGCCCAGCUAAGAUGCAGGUUUUUCUCAAUGCUAUAUUGAACACAGCUUCAUAGCCCAAAAAGGAAAGUAAGCAAUCAUCAUAGCCCCCUUUACAACACCAGCAGCAGCAACAGCAUCACAAGAAGACGAGAGGAAGAACAACAAGAGUACAGAGGUGUGUUUGGAUGACAUUUUUUUCCCUUUUGUUUAUUUAAAAGGGCUGUUAUUUUUUGGUUAUCAAUGGAAAAAUCACUGGCAAAGCAGAGACGGGCAACCACCCUUUUACAGAAAAUCCCAAUUUCUCUGAUGCUUCAUUCUUCAAAGCUGAAAUUUCAUUUGAGGGCUCAGAAUUGCUAUAUCUGAACAAAGCAAAAGAGAGAAGUGAUGCCGCCAUGGAUGCAGACACCAGUUUGCUAUUCAAAGCCAUAACUGGGUCGCCCUGACGUCUACUGAAGCAUCUCUUGCUGCCCUAAACUGGCAACUGGGCUACAAAGAACCAUAUUAUCCUGCCUCAAUUUUCUAGUAUGAUUUUCUCUGUUGGUGUUCACACAGCCAUGUAGCAGCAAGAAAAGAGAACCAUCAGUAGCAGAACUGACUGAAUGAACAACUAAAUAAAUAAAUAAAUAAACAAUUCCCAUUUCUCAUUGAUGCCUCAUUUAUGAGCUGGCUUUCAAAAUAAGUGAAAACGGGUUUUCACCAAACAAUGUCCACAACUACUUGCAAUUUGAGGCUCAGAUCUGGGCUAUUAAUGGGGAAAAGAGAAAGAGACCACGCCAUGGCUGCAAAUAUCACGAAGCAACUGCAGUUCACCAAGCCAAGAUACGGGUCUGAUUGUCUUUAUCCUGAAGCCAGAUGAGCAAAUAUCAUACUGCCACUUUGAGAAAAUGGCUGCAUAAUUUCAAGAAAUUAGGAUACUUCGGAUUAAGCCUUAUUAACCAGAUUGAGGUCCAAGUACUACUACUACUAGCACUGUUAAUGCUUUGCUUAAAACUGGAGGCUCAGAUGUGUAUCUGGGGCAUUGAGUUUUCUGGCACCUGCCAUGGCUGCAACUCACAGAUAUUCAAGUUGCCAUGCCAAGAUACAGGCAACAAAAAUCUAAUGCACGAUUAUGUUUAGCUCAGCAUAGUGCAGACACUAUCAUCACAGCCCAAUUGUUUCCCUUUCCGAGUCCAUUGCUUUGGAACACAACCAGUGAGGACAAAGCUAAGAUGCUUGAAUUAAUAAGCACAAAUCCACAUGUACAAAUGCAGAAAUAUACAUAAACAAGGGUUCUCAGGUUUAGAGCAUAAAAAAAAUCAUUGGCAUGUUAAAGAUGGUCAUCCACAUCGAGAAUCCUUUGUGGUGGUGUAGUUGGUUAUCACGUCAUUCUUAACACAUAAAACUAAAGAAUACCAAUUCCAGAGUAAAUUACCAUUGAAAACUAUCAACGGUCGCAUAAAGAGGGUGUUAUUGAUCUCUCUCCGUCAAAGAAGGUCUCGUGUUCUAUUCCCAGGUUGUAAGGAAGGAAAUUUGGAAAAUGAGGCUCAGUCUCAAUUUUCUAUUGGGGUAAAGAUAAGGCAACCAUGCCAUGGAUGCAAAAUAACCAAUUGGAUUGUGAAAGAGAAGCCUAAAAUCACAGCCCUUGUUGGUGUUUGCCAAGCCAAGAUACAGGUCAGGAUGUCUCUAUGCCCAAAAGGAAAUGAGCACGGAAUUUAAAGUGGCCUCAAAAAAAGACCAUUUUUGUAAAUGCCGAUAAACAAUAAUCAUCACAGCCUCUUUCAGAUGAAGUUCACUCUUCCAUGGAUUUUAAGAAAUUGUAGAAAUUUUUGGACUAAAGAAUUCAAUAAUGCCUAAUGGCGAAGGCGCCAGAAUUUGCUGGGUUUCCUCGAGCUAAGGAAGAAUAAGAGGGUUGUUAGUUUUGUUAGUUAAGAAAUCAUAGGCCAAACAGAGGGGACACUGCCCUCCUAGAAGUCCCUUUUGCCCCAGUUGGCCUCAUCUUCCUUCUGGGCUCAAUCUCCAUUAUUACUUUUGUCGAGGAAAAAGCUUGUAGUUAUGCAACGUACUAAUAUCUAGAUUCUCUUUAGCCCUUCUUGCAGAGAUGUACCAUGCUAUUAUUUGUGGCUAUUUCGCUCGGAUUCAAAAACAUUGAAGGGUGUGUCGGAUACUCCAAAAAUAGUGUAUUUUCGGAGAAUCCAACAUGAGUGCAACGACAUUUUUGGAGAAUCCGAAGCAAUAGUAACAGCAGAAGCACAACGAGACAGAGGAAGAGCAAGAAGAAUAUAGAGGGGGUGUUUGGAAUUUGGAUGAAGUUUUUCAAUUUGCUUUCUUUUUGUUUAUUUGAGAAAGGGUUGUUGGGUUUUUUGGUCCAUUAAUGGAGAAGUCACUGGCACAGCAGAGAUUGGCAACCACCCUUCACAGAAAAUCCCAAUUUCUUCAACGCCUCAUUCUUCAAAGUUGCAAUUUCAAAGCAAACCAAAAAAAUGAUUUUCUACCCGAAUGGGUUAUUGAGGGCUCAGAUUUGCUGUAUUUGGACAAAGCAAAAGAGAAGAGCGACACCACCAUGGCUGCAGACACCAGUUAUCUAUUCAAAGCCCUAACCAGGUUGCCCUGCCAAGAUGCAGGUCGGAUAUUUUCUCAAUUUCCAUGAUUGAACAUAGCUCAGAAAGGAAGCAAUCAAUCAUUAUAGCCCCUUCAAAACAUUAUCAGCACAAAGAGAGGAGAAAGAGGAAGAGUAGUAUAGGGUGUGUUUGGUAUAAAGUUUUUAUUGUUGUUGUUGUUUAAUUCAAAGGGCUGUUGGGUUUUUUUGGUCCAUUUAUGGGGAAAUCACUGGCAACGCAGAGAUGGGCAACCACCCUUUACAGAAAUCCCAUUCUCUGACGCCUCAUUCUUCAGAGUUGAAAUUUCAUUGGAAAUCCGUAAUGGAUUUUCCGACCCGAAUGGGUUGGGGUAAAGGCUGCACAGACACCAUCUUCCCCCACACCACUUCCGGAUAUGUUGUUGUAGUAAUGGGUUAUUGAGGGCUCAGAUUUGCUGUACUUGAACAAGAGAAGAGUGACGCCGCCAUGGCUGCAGACACCAGUUUGCUCUUCAAAGCCUAACCAGGUCGCCAUGCCAAGAUACGGUAGGAUAUUUUCUCAAUUACCAUGAUUGAAUAUAACCCAGAAAAGAAGCAACAAUCAUCAUAGCCCCUUCACAACAUUAGCAGCACAAAGAGAGAAGAAAGAGGAAGAGCAAGAAGAGUAUAAGGUUGUGUUUGGUAUGAAGGUUUUUUGUUUUUUCUUGUUUAUUUCGAAGGGCUGUUGGUUUUUAUGGUCCAUUAACGGAGAAUUCACUGGCAUAGCAGAGAGGGGCAACCACCCUUUCAGAAAGUCCCAAUUUCUCAGAUGCCUCAUUCUUCUUCCUUUCUAGGCUAUGCUCAACUUAGCUUUUGUUUGCCAAGAACAAUAUCAUCACUGCCUCAAUUUCACAUUUUUCUAGUAUGAUUCUUGCUGUUUAGGUGUUCAUGCAGCCAUGCAGAAGCAAAAAAACGUGGGCUUACUACCAACACUGAAUGAAUGAAUAAUAAAUAAAAAGUUUGUGUUUCUCAUGAUGCCUCAUUGAGCUGGCUUUUAAAUAAGUGAAAUGGAUUUGGUUUCCACCAAACAAAUGUCUAGAACUACUUGCAAAUUUGUGGCUCAGAUCUGACCUAUUAAAGGGAGCAGAGAAAGAGAGCACGCCGCAGCUGCAAAAGUACCGGUUGCAUGUGAAAGAGAGGCCUUAAAUCACAUAGCAACUGGGGUUUGCCAAGGCAAGAUACGGGUCUGAUUGUCUUUAUUCCCAAAGCUCAGAUAAGCAAAUAUUAUCACUGCCGCUCCGAGAAAAUGGUUGCACAAUUUUCAAGAUAUUAGGAUAAUUUGAAUUAAGCUCAUAAAUCAGACAGAGGGCCCAAGUACUACUAUUACUAUGUUAAUGCUUUGCUCUCAGCUGGAGGCUCAGACUUGUAUCUGGAGCACUGGAAUUCCUGGAAACCUGCCAUGCCUACAAACAAAUACAGAUAUUCAAGUUGUCAUGCCAAGAUACAGGUUACAAAAAUCUAAUGCCUGUUGUAAUUUAGCUCCCUUUUUGAGAUCAUUGCUUUGGAACAGCCAGUGAAGACAAAUCACGACAACUGAGACAUAGACAUCUAAAUAUAUUUAUAUGCAGAAACAUUACAUAAAAGGUUGCCUGGUUUAGAGUGAAAAGAAAGCACCUGCAUGUCGAAGAUGCUUAUCCACUCUGAGAAUCAUCUGAUCCCCUAAAGCCUCAUUCAUUGAGCAGAAAUAAAGUUGUAGUUGGUUAUCACGUCAGUCUAACACAUAAAACUGAAGAACCCCAAAUCCAGAGAACGACCUUCAAUUGAAGACCCAAUCGAUGGUUGCACUAAAAUGAUGUUGUUAUCUCCUGUGAAAAGAAUUCCAGAGACUUACCACAUCAAGAGAAGGGAAAAUCCAACUUCUCUUUGAAACGAGGCAAAAUGAGUUUCCAUUAAAGAAGGUUGCGUGUUAGAUUACCAGGUCAGCGGGUCAUCAAAAGGAAAUUUAGAAAAUGAGGCUCAGAUCUCAGUUUCUGACGAGGCAAAGAGAAGACGACCAAGCCAUGGCUGCAAUCGAAUCAAUUGCAUGUGAAAGAGAAACCUCCAAUCACAGACCAUUCCGGUGUUUGCCAAGCCAAGAUACGGGCGGGAUGCCUCAAUGCCUGGAUGGAAAUGAGGAAAAAUUUAAAAUAGCGGUCCUAGAAAAUUGUCGUAAAUGGCCCAAUUAACAAGUAUCAGCACUGCCUCUUUCAGGAAAUGGCCUAAAUGACCCAUUUUCUCAAAGUUUGGUCAUUGGUGGCAUAUUUGAGUCUUCUCCUAUUAAAAAAUGAUUUAAUAAAUGAUAUGGCUGAAUACUAAUUGACCACGUGUAAUAAAUGGUUUUGCAAAACCAAAACUUUUUUCAAUUAACAUAGAAUGGCAUGGAUGAGCCUUUUCGUAAACGGAAAUGGCAGAGAUGAGCCAAACUUUUAAUGGAUAGCACAAAUGAGUCUUUUCUCAAAGUUCAAUGACAUAUUUGAUCCUUUUCCCUUUUUUAAAAAAGAGAAAGUUACCACACCAUGAUAAGCCCUAAUAAUAGUUUCCCAAUUGAUAAGACAAAGUGAGGCUCAGAUCAGUGUUAAGCUCGGGCAACAAGAGAGUCCAACAACAUCAUGGCUGCAACAACCACCAGAAAGUCUGGGAGCAUGCCCCGCCAAGAUACAGGCCGGAUGGUCUCAAAUGCCUGAUUAAUCAGCUCAGAAGGAUAUUAAAAAUUGACAAAAUCAUCAUUGCCUCUUUCAAGCCACGGGUUAUCCACAACAACACAGCUUCCAACACCAGCAUUCAAUGCUCCGGCAGAAGCAUUAGAGAAAAGAGAUGGCAUAGCAUGAAAGGGUAUAUAGAAACCAUUUGUAAUGAUAUGUAAACAACCAUCCAAACAAAUUGUUAAUAUUACUCCCUUCAUUAAAAUUGAUAAAAGGGUUGUUGGGGACUUGGCGUUCUUACAGUAAUGGAGAAAUCAUUGCCUGAUGCAGAGAGAGGCAACCACCCUUUCAAUGAAAAAUCCCAAAACUCUCUGUAGCCUCAUUCUUUCCCUUCGAAGCUUUUGCUUUGUUCAUUUAACUAAACCGAUGGAGAAAGUGAGGCUCAAAUCUUUGUCUUCCCUUUAGAAUGUCUCUUUCCUUUUUUGGCAACAUUUGACUUCUAACUUUCCACGUGACGCCUUUAAACCCACAAUAUUAAAAGGCAUCUAGGAACAUUCUACAUAUCUUAAGAUAAAGAUCUCCGGGUUGCCCCCGCUUAGAUACGGAUCCAAUUGCUCUACCGCACUAUUGAUUUGCUCAAAGGAAGAAGACAAUCUUCAUCACGGCUUCAGAAUUUUUUAAACAAUUAUUAUUAUAACUGGGUGUGAGAAUUUGGAGAGAACAAGCAAAGACUUAAGCGUCAUUUGGUCUCUGUUUAACUGCAACAAGAGCUGUUGAGUUUUUCUUUUUUCACAGCAACACUGAAAUCAAAAUCACAGUUAUUGCAGAGAGGAGCGACAGCCCUUUGAAGGGUUCCCCUCUACUCUCUCCAACCCUCAUUAUUCGUCUCUGAGCUAAGCUUUUUUUCCUUUAAAAGAGAAAUUCUCAUGUGUUUUUCGACCUGCGAAUUUCACAGCUGCAAUAACAACAACCCAGCGUUAUCUCACUCCUACCUUGUGGAGUUAACUAGAUUGUUUCCAAUACUGUACAAAUGAAACAUUGAGGCUCAGAUUUGUAAUACUUACAACAUGGCAAGAGAGACUGGAAUCACCGCCAGGGCUGCAAGCACCGGUUGCAAGGUAACCUGCCAUCCAGGUAGCCCGCCAAGAUAUGGGUCCAUUUCUUUCCUGUACUAUUGAUUUGCUCAGAGAAAGAAUAAAAUCAUCAUCAUAGCCUCAUAAUUUUCGCAACAACCAUUACUACUACUACUGAUUAUCCCUUUAAAGUUGAGAAAUUGGAGAGAACAAGCAUAUUGCUGUUUAACUGCAGAAGGGCUAUUAAAGAUUCUUUUUUUCACAACAAAAAUGAAAUCACAGGUAUUGCAGAGAGGAGCAACAGCCCUUUGAACUUUCCCUCUACUCUCCGCAACCCUCAUUUCCGUCUAUGACCUUUAACUUUUCUGGACUAAGCUUUAUUUCCUUUUAUGGGAAAUUUCACAGCUGCAUUUUAAAGAAAAACCAAUAAAGCUCAGAUCUGUAUUACUCACAAUACAGCAAAGAGAGCCUCAAAUCACCGCCAUGGCUGCAACCACCGGUUUCUAGGUCACCUUCUAUCCGGGUUGCCCCGCCAAGAUACGGGUCCGAAUGCUCUCCUGCACUAUCCAUUUGCUCAUCAGAGAAAAAAAAAACAGAGUACAUCAUCAUCACAGCCUCAGUUUUUCGCAACAAUUAUUAUUAUUAUUAUUAUUAUUAUUACUGUAUGAUUCUAGCAAAGGUGUCGUUAGGUCGGUAUUUAGCUGCAAAAAUGCUGCUGAAAUUAUCAUUUUUUCACAGCAAAAAUUGAAAUCACAGGCAUUGCAGAGAGGAAGCAGCACAGCCCUUUGAAGUUUUGUCUUCCACUCUCUGCAAAUCCUCAUUCUCUUUUCUCUGAGCUUUUUGGAUUUCUACUGUAACACCAUCUCCAACCAAAUCCUAUUUUAGUGUUGUGGACUUUCAACCCUUAUUAUGUUUUAUUACAUUUACACUAUUUAGACAUUGUAUCUGAGAUUAUAUUGUAUUAUUAAUUUAAAUAUAAUUAUUUUAUAUUUAUUAAUUAAUUAAAUUCAUCGUUAUAUAAAUAAUAAAAAAUCUAUUUUGCGUAACUAUCAUUUAUAUGAUAGUGUCUUUAUCUUAACAUUUUUUUUUAUUUUGUCUUUUACUUAUUAUUAAAAUAAUUUUAUUUUAUCGUUAUCAUAUAUUUUUAUAGCAAUUUAAUCUUGUACUCUAUAAUAUUUUUUUAAAUUUAUCAUUCAAAUUGUUUUAAAUAAUAAUAAAAAACAAUAUAAUUUAUUUAAAUAUUAUAUAAUAUAUAUUAAAAUAAUAUACUACAUUAUGAUACAAUACCAUGCAACAAAAUAAUAAGUAUUAAAUCAUGAUUCAUCUAUACUAUAUAUUUUUCACUUAUUAUUAUUAUUUGUAUUAUAUAAUAUUUUCAAAAAUAUAAAUAACAAUAUAAUAUUAAAAAGAGAAGAGUAUACUUAGAGACAAUAAAUAUUACUUUACUUUUUAGGGUAAAAUUUAAUGAAGAGAAUAGGAAGAUAAGCAACAUUACACCUUUAUUUGGAUGGUUAUAGUCUGAGAUAUUAUUAGUUUAAAUAUAAUAUUUAUUGAGAUUAUUAAUUUUAUAUUAUAUAACAUAAUAUAAUAUAAUAUAAUAUAUUAUAAAAUAAAUUCUUAUUCUUUUACCUUUUUUUUUGUGUGUUUUUAAAAAAAAUGAAAUAUUUCUUUUUCUUAUCACUUUAAUUUUAAUUUUUACAUGAAAUAUUUAACAUUACAAAGUUAAAAAUCGUUUUAAUAUAUUUGACAUAACUUUAAUUUAAAAUAACAAAAUUAAAUUUAUUUUUUUUUAAUCUUCAUUCCAAGUCAAAAGUCAUCCUUUUUUUUUUUUGAAGGAAGGUGGUAAUAAUCAUCUAAAAACAAAGUGGUCAUGGCUCGUGUGUGAUUGUUUUGAAAUUAGUUAUUUUGAAAUUGUUAUCCUACUUUUCAUAUGAAAUGUAAUAAUUAUUAUAGUUCCAAAGCAAUUUAUUUGCAAUUUGAUUUGAAUCCAACAUUUUGGUUAAGAAUUAACAGGUAAGUGAAGUGUUGAUUUAUUUCAAAGGUUAGACUUGUUGAUAUUUAUGGUUCAUAUUAACUAUAGUAGUUGUUCAGAUUAUAAGCAAAUUUUGGCUCGUGAUUUGCUAAGCCAAGUUAAUCUUCAUCAUCUCAACCCAGUUUUCUGGGAAUCCGAAGAGAUCACGGCCUCAAAUUUUAUGGAUUAAAAAUGAGAAAAUACAAACAAACAAAGACGAGUUUUGAAUGAAAUAUCAAUUUCCAGCAGAAGUUUUGUAUGAAUCCAAAAGUUAUUCAUUAUGAAUUUAGAGGCUCAGAUCUGCAAAAGAAAUCGAGGUAGAAGAGAGCCGACCACGCCAUGGCUGCAAAAUUUGCCAAGCCAAGAUACGGGUCGUAUAAUCUUCAUACCCGACCCGAUUAGCCCAGAAUCCAAAGAAAUCAUUAUCUUCAUCAUCGCCUCUCAUUAUUUGGAUAAAAAAAAACACAGAAGAAACAGAGUUUGUAACCAUAGUUGUUGAAGUUGAAGAAAAGGUUUAAUUUUCCAUGUUCAAUAAUUCAGUCAUUUCCCAGAAACACAUGCAUGUGUCCAAAAGGCUCAGAUCUGCAAAGAGAUCGGAACAAAGAGAGAGACGACCACGCCAUGGCUGCAAAAUUUGCCAAGCCAAGAUACGAGUCGCAUAAUCUCCAAGCCCGAUCCGGUUAGCCCAUCAUCAUCAUCAUCACAGCCUCAAUAGAUCAAACACCAACAAAGAGUGAGUAAUUAAUUAACAAAAAAGAGAAUGGCAUAGAUGUAGAAUUGGAAAGUUGAGGAAUAUAUGUAUGUUUGUUGUAUGUAUGUAUGUAUGGCAUGCAUGUUCCAAUAAUUCCCAGGAAAUUAACAUGAAUUCAAGGGUUGUUGCUUCAUCUCUAAAAGAAUCAUUCAUAGGCUAAACAAGAGAGGGGCAACCACCCUUGUUAAUAAAAUCCAAAAACUCUCUGUUUUGCCUCUUUUUUCUUUUCUGGGCUAACCUUUUCUUUGCUUCUUUUCCACCUUUAACUUUUGCCUUUUUUAUAACCCACUCUUGAAUAAAUUUAUCAUUUUUCUGUAUGUCUAAUGGAUAAUACUUUAUUUGAAAAUGUAAAAGCACAAACAACUUGUCAUUCUUAUCCAUUUCUCCUUGAAACAGAAUUUACGAAAAUAAAAAAAAUUUAAUAUCGUAAUUUCAAAUUAAAUUAUAUUAAAUAUAACAAAAUAUUCAUUAAUCUUAUAAUUUUGAACAUGCUACGUAAAAAUUAAAACUAAAAUAAGCAUCAUUUUUUUUAAAUGGAUAAAGUAUUUAAUUUAUAGCAUUAUUUAAAGUACUGAUGAAAAAUCUCUCACUUUGUAUAACAGUUAAUUUGAUAUAAUCAUUUUAUUAUUUUCUUCUCAAUUUAUCUCACUUAUUAUUUGGUAAAUUCUGUUUUCAUAGAAGCUCUAUGUCAUCACCUAUUUUCUUCAUUCGUUAUUGAUAUGUGAAAUUAUAUAACAAUAAAUAAUAUAAUUAUCUGGUUAUUGUAUUCAUUAUGUUAUACUUGCUUCGUUUAUUUUUAGUUGUUAUUUAUUUUUAAAAUAAAUUUUCAUUUUUAUUUAUUACUUUUGAUAUUUCAAGAAAAGGGAACAACUUUUUUUUGUGUUUUAAUCUCAACAUUAGAAAUAUAUUUUAUAAAAUUAUUUUUCAAAACAUUAUUAAAUCAAAAAUUAAAACUAAAGGAGAGAGCACUUAUUUCCAACAAUUUAUUGUGGUCUUGAGUGAACUCUUUAGAGGAUUACACCAAAAACUUCUUGAUUUUAUCAAAAAUUUGGUUCAAAUUUCAAGUAAAUGUCUGACUCAAUGGGGAAACCCAUUAAUAUUCUUGUUACUUUUUAGGUAAAGGGUAACUUUCGAGGUAGCAUUUCACUAUAAUUCGAUAUUUUCUUGAUCCAUUGUUUUGAUUUUUUAUUCCGUAUUCUCCGUUGUUUACUAUACUAUCGAUAUUUAUUCAUUUUAUAAAUAUCACCUUUUAAUCUCUCAUUUUACACUAUGCUUAGGUCAAUCAAUUCAUUAUCACUCAUUGAUAUUACUCAUAUUUGGUAAACAAUUCAUAGGAAGUGGACAUUUGAUUCAGUAAGUAGAAAGUGAAAUGCUCAACCAGUAAUGAGAUUUGCAUAUCCAUUUCUGAUGAAAGGAAAUGUAAAAUCAGUAGUAAAAAAUUUAGCUUUGAAAUUUAUAGAAAAUUGUAAAAUCAUUCAAAAUCAACAAGUCAAAAUUAUUCAUUUAAUUAGUUAAACAAUUUUGUUCUGAUGGUAAAUUUAUAAACCCAUCUUAGAGAUUAGAUUCCUAUUUUUAUUUAUACUAUUCUCAAACUUUGAAUUAUUUUCCAUCAUUAAAGAGUGAAUUAACCUGAAUCUGAAUGAUGUUAUUAGAGGCUCAGAUCUGCAAAAUCACUGUAUUAGUCCAGAACUCAAACAAAUCAUCAUCACUGCCUCUAUUGUUUAUGGAUCAAAGAUGAAACAAACACAGGUAUAAUUGGUACAUUUUUCCAAUUUCAACGAUGAAUCAAAAAGUUUGUAUAAUUAGAGGCUCAGAUGUGCAAAGAGAUCGAGGCAAAGAGAGAGGCGACCACGCCAUGGCUGCAAAAUCAGUGUGAUUUGCCAAGCCAAGAUACGGAUCAUAUAAUCUCAAUGCCUGAUGCGGUUAGCCCAGAAUCAUCAUCACUAUCAUCACUGCCUCAAUUGUUUGGAUCAAAGCUGAGAAAAUAAAACCAACAUAGAGAGAGUACAAAAACAGAAAGCCAGCCAGAAUAAUAAUUGCUAUAUAUAUAUAUAUAGUAGUAGUAGUACGUAUGUAUGUAUGUUUUCCUGGUUACAAUGAUUCAAUUAAUUUCCAGGAAAUUAAUAAGAAUCCAAGGGUUGUUGCUUCAUCUAUCUGGAAAAAAUCAUUGGUUAAACAAGAGAGGGGCAACCACCCUUGUAAUGAAAAUCCCAAAACUCUCUGUUUAGCCUUUCUGGGCUAACCUCUUCUUUGCCACUAUUUUCACUUGGCAGUUUUCUUGUGGUUUAUAUAACCCAAAAACUGUUCUAUGGAAGAAUCUAGAGGCAAUUUUUCAGACAUUUGGACCAAAUUUCAAGUAAAUGACUGACACCAUGUGGGACAUGUGUCCGUCAUUAAUAUUUUUCUCCCUCGUUGCUCAUUUUCCCAAAAGAGGUAAAUAAUUUCUUUAAUUUAACACUAGCACAAAGAGCAAAAAAUAAUCAAACCAAAACGGCAAUAUUUGAAUGGAAAAAAAAUGUUAGGUGUUGAUCACAAACUCGAUGACCAAGCACUUACGUGUUGAUUUCAUUGAAUCCUUCACCUGGACUCCAGUGUCUACAUCUUGUACAACUGCUUCCAAGGGACGAUCUCCCAGCCAAGGCAGCAACAAAGAGCAAAAAAUUUAGAAGAUAUGCACAAAGUUCAUUAAAACCAUGAGACAAAAAAAAAAAGUUUUAGACAGUACCAUUCAGCCAUGAUUCUUCCAACUUCAAGCUAAGUACUGCAAUGGAUGAGGAAGGCAACCACCAUCACAAAAAUCCCACAUUUCACUCAAAUGCCUCAUUCUUGAGCUAUUACGGAUAAAAGAUUGGCAACACAUUACGAGGGAACAGCAAUAUAACUUGUAUGCAAAAAGGUUCCAUAUACAAGCAAAAAAAAAAUAUACUUUCUUUAGCAAAAGGAGGCUCAGAUACAUGUAUGAUAAGGCAAAAGAGAAGUCAACCACGCCAUGGCUGCAAAACAUUGGUUGCGUGUGUGAGAAGAAAACUCUUAUCACAGGUAGCAUAAUGCCAGGUAGACACUUUUAGCGAUCACACCCAUACUGGAUUGCCACGCCAAGAUACGGAUUGGAUCGUCUCCAUGCCCAACUGGAUAGACCAGAGUUAAAAAAAGUUAUCAUCACUGCCUUUUUAUGAGUUUCCAAAGCCAUAAAGGACACAGACUGAAGAAACAAGGAAACUGAAGUAGUAUAGUUUUGUGUUUGGUUUUUGAGUAUGUAUAUCACAACAACAGGACCCAAAGAAACCAAGAAACUGAAGUGGAAUAUAUUUUCUCUUUUUUCUUUUCUUAAGGGCUGUUGGUUUGUUGAGAAGGGUAGAAUCAUAGGCAAAGUAGAGAGGGGCAACCACCCUUGAAAGAAAUCCCAUACUCUCUGCUGCCUCAUACUCGUCAUUCCUGCUAAAAGAAGGAAGUUCGUUUAGAUUAGAGCUUCUAACUGACGAGACGUCACAAGUCUGCAUUUAAGAGAAUUUAACUGCAAUAAUGUCCAAAUGCCUACUUAUGUUCUUCAACAAAUUGUGGCUCAGAUGUAUGUAAUGAUAUGGCAAAAGAGAAGCCAGUCUCGCCAUGGCUGCAAAACACCGACUGCAUGAGAGAAAGAGAGAAGUUCUCAACAGGCCAAACCGGGUUGCCACGCCAAGAUACGGGUCGGUUCAUCUCAAUGUUCCAUGAUCAGCCCAGAACUAGAAGAUACAUAAGCAUCAUCAUUAGCCCCUUUCUGUAGCAGAAUGCAUCGUAAUGGAACACUUUCCAGUUUUACACUAACAAUAAGAGAAAACGGGAAGAAAUAUGCAAAGAGCUAAGAGAAGAGAGACUGAAGAUCUGAAGGCGGCCUAAUUGUUGUGGUAAACUUGAAAAUUGGGGAAAUUUCAUCCAGAAAACCAGAGACUGAAGUACUAUGUUGCUCUUUUUUUCUCUUAAAGGCUGUUGGUUUGUUGAGAAGGGGAGAAUCAUAGGCAAAGCAGACAGGGGCAACCACCCUUGAAAGAAAUCCCAUACUCUCUCUGCAGCCUCAUUCUCUCUAUUUCUGGGCAAACCUAAUAGAUGGAAUUUGCUUGUAUGAGAGCUUAAAACGAGAAGACCUCAAUAUCUCCCACUUUGAUCAUGGAAAAGAUAUUGCCCCUUAUGCAUAGUAAAGGGGCAAAUUUGAUCAUUUUCCCUUUUUUUCUUUAGCAAAUUGAGGCUCAGAUUUGUGUAAUGACGAGGAAAAAGAGAAGCCAGCCAUGCCAUGGCUGCAACGCACGAUUGCAUGUGUGAGUUAUGCGUCUCAAUUACAGGCCAUACCGUGUUGUCAUGCCAAGGUACGGGUUGGGUACUCUCCAUGCCCGAAAUCUUGCUAGCCCAGAAAUCAUCACUGCCUCUUUAAUAGUUUUCAUAGUCAUUUUAUAGUUGUAGUAUAGUUGUGUAUACAUAUGUCUUAAGGGUGGUGCAAACUGCAAAUAAACCCAGAAACUCAAUUGUACUCUCUCUGUCUCUUUCUUUUGAAGGGCUGUUGGUUUGUUUUGAGAAAUGGAGAAUCAUAAGCAAAGCAUAGAGAGAAGGCCAACCACCCUUGAUAGAAAUCCCAUACUCUCUGCUGCCUCAUUCUUGCCUUUUAUAGGCUGACCUAACAAAAGGGAAUUCACAAGACUUCAAGCAUCUUUCGGCUAAUUCUUUCUCCUGAGGCUCAGAUUUGUUAUAAAACCAGAGAAAAGGAGACAAAGCAAUCGCCAUGGCUGGAGACCUCAGUUGUUAAGUGGAAUACCUUUACUGGGUAGCCCCGCCAAGAUACGUGCAGCUCCAAUGCCCAACCCAACUCUAUACAACUUCAUUUGUUAUUAUCACAGCCUCAUCCUAUAAUUAAAAGCUAGCAAGGGUACAUAGACCAUACCCCGAUCCUUUGUGGGGGACUAGAGAAGUUGUUUCCAACAGAGCUCAGCUCAAGAAAAUUACAGUCCAGAACCUAAAUGAUGGAAGAAAGAAAACAACAGAAACUAGUGUGUAAUUCAUCUCUCUCUUUCUCUAUUUUAAGGGCUGUUGGUUUGUUCAAAAAUGUAAGAAUCAUAGGCAAAGCAGAGAGAAGGGCAACCACCCUCUAAUAGAAAUCCCAUUACUGUCUCUGCUGCCUCAUUAGGGGCUAACCAAUCAAAAAGGGGCUCACAAGUAAUUACUUGCAAAAACGAAACAGGUCUUUUCCUUGAGGCUCAGAUCUGUGAGAUAAAAUCAAGCAAAAAGGAGACAAAAGCAACCACCAUGGCUGCAGAUCUCACUUUGCAAAACAAUGGAAAUGCCUUACCGGAUCGCCCAGCCAAGAUAUGUGCAAGCUCCAACAGGCCCGACCCAACACUAGACAACUUCAUUUGUCAUCAUCACAGCCUCAUAGGAAGGAGGAGACAGUAUACUUUAUAGCCCAACAGCACAUAAUAUAAGCCAGAAACCCAAAAACGCUCGAAAUACAUGUGAUUAGACCUUUUUCAACUAUGGUGGUUUUGGUGAAAUUUUGAAAAGGAAAUCAUCAGCGGAAGAACAGAGAGAGGACAACCACCAUUAAAGACUCCCCAAUGCCUCUCCGUUGCCUCGUUUGUUCGUCUAGAGUUGCAGAACACACUUACAUUAGGUCAUUUUUUGCCCAACUGCCUAAACAGUCUUUUAGCUUAAGAGGAAAAAAAUGUUUGAUUCUUCUUGCACAAACAACAAUCUUCAUUGACUCUAAAAAGUGGAACAGAGGGAGUAAUAAAUCAAUCAAUUAAGGGUGGUUUUGCAAUUGGAAACACUUCUAUUUGAAAGAUCAUUGGCAGCAGAGAAUGACAGAGAGGGGCAAAACCACCCAUGGAAACUCCCGACAGCUCUGUUUUAACCGCAACCUCAGAUUUAUACAAAGAUGAGUUCCCCAAAAAUGAGGCUCAGGUCUGUUACAUUCAGGGCAAAAAGAGAUCCAACGAUGCCAUGGCUGCAAAAAUCACCACAAAAUCUGGGGUUAUGCCCAGCCAAGAUAUGAGCCGGAUAAUCUCAAAUGUUCGAUUAAUAAGCUCAUAAGGAAAUGAAAGGUUGCUAAAAUCAUCAUUGCCUGUGUAAAUCCAUCAAUUAUACUAGCAUAACUUGUAUUUAAACCGAACGAAUCAAUAACAACUAGCUUGGAUGGUUAUUUCCCUAUUGUUACUUUAGAUAACGGGACCACAUAUUAUAGGUCUUCCAAAAAUAAAUUAUAUCGAUAUCAGUCAUUUUUUCCACUGGGCAGCAGAAAAUAUUAUUUGAGAAAGCAUAUUAAUUUAUAGAGUACCAAUUUAGAGAGGUUUUUACUGUAGUUUAUAUUCUCGGAGUCUUCCAAAUAGAGAGCAUCUUAGUAGUAAGUAUUUUAACUUCUCCUGAAAAGGGUAUGAAUUCAAUCUCCCACAUUUAUCAUGGAAUAUAUAUUGCCCCUUAUGCAUGGUGAAGUGGUAAAUUUGACCCUUUUCCCUAUUUUCUCAAGCAAAUUGAGACUCAGAUUUGUGUUCUGAUAAGGCAGAAGAGAAGUCAACCACGCCAUGGCUGCAACACACGAUUGCAUGAGCGAGUUAUGGGUCUCAAUUACAGGCCAUAUCGGGUUGCCACACCAAGAUACGCGGUGGGUAAUUUCCAUGCCCGAAAUUUAGAUAGCCCAGAAAUCAUCACUGUCUCUCUAAUAGUUUUCAUAGUCAUGCGGUUCUUUUAGUAUAGUUGUGGCAUUGCCUUGUGAAAGAAACCAUGAAACUCAAGUGUAUCACUGUCUCUUUCUUUUUUUAAGGGAAGUUGGUUUGUUUUGAGAAAUGGAGAAUCAUAGGCAAAGCAUAGAGAGAAGGGCAACCACCCUUGAUAAAAAUCCCAUACUCUCUAUUGCCUCAUUCUUGAUCUUGCCUUUUUUAGGCUAACCUAACAAAAGGUAAUUCACAAGACUUCAAGGUCUUUCAGCCUUUCUCCUGAGGCUCAGAUUCAUUAUAAAACUAGGCAAAAGGAGACAAACCAACCGCCAUGGCUGCAAAACAGAAUGCCUUUCUGGCUACCACACCAAGAUACGUGCAGCUCCAAUGCUCAACCCAACUCUGUACAACUUCAUUUGUUAUCAUCACAGCCUCAUCCUAUAAUUAAAAGCUAGCAAUGGUACCCUGGUCCUUUUUGGGGACUAGAGAAGUUUCCAAUAGACUCAGCUCAAUAAAAUCACCACGCAGAACCUAAAUGACUGGAAUAAAAAACAACAGAAACUAGUGUGAUCCAUCUUUUUCUCUUUUUCUAUUUUAAGGGCUGUUGGUUUGUUUAGAAAAUGGAAGAAUCAUAAGCAAAACAGAGAGAAGGGCAACACCCUUGAUUAGAAAUCCCGUAACUCUCUCUGCUGCCUCAUUCUGAGCUAAUCUAACAAAAAAGGGUUCACAAAUAAUUACUGAAAUGAUUUUUUCUUUUGAGACUCAGAUCUAUAAGAUAAAAUCAAGCACAAAGAGACAAAGCAAUCGCCAUGGCUGCAGACCUCAGUUUGCAAAACAAUGAAAAUGCCUUACCGGGUCGCCCCGCCAAGAUACGUGCAGCUGCAAUACCUGACCAAAAUCCAUUUGUCAUCAUUACAGCAUCAACAAGUGAAGAAGCAGAAGCAGUUUCCAAAAGGGUCUUUUUCUAUAGGUUCGGAUCUGCAACACAAGAUCGAGGGAAAAAGGAGACAAAGCAACCACCAUGGCUGCAGACCUCAGUUAGCAAAACAAUGGCUCCAAUAUGCCUGACCCAACUCUAGAAAACUUCAUUUGUCAUCAUUACAGCCUGAACAAGGAGUAGUAGUAUAGUGCGCCUAAAUUCAGUUAAUAUGGAGUAUAAUUUUAGCUAAACACCACACAAUUUAAGCCAAUCCAAACAAACCAUCAGCUGAAGAACAGCGAGAGGGCAACCACCAUUAAUAACUCCCCAAUGCCUCUCUCGUCGUCCAGAGUUUCAUUAACACAAACUUUGAUUUAGUACAUGUAGUAUCUUCCUGUUACAUUUCUACUUAGUCACAUUUCUAUUUUAAAAGUAUACCUAAUAAGUUUGAUAAUGCAUAUUUUCACUCUUAGAAUUCAUAGUUAGCAAAUAGAUAUAGCAAUUGUUCGGAGCUCAUUAAUAAUCAUCAGGUGUUGUAACUGAGAGCGUGUUUGUCUUUCUUUUGUUCAUAGUUUGAUAUUCUGAACAGUAAACAGAUAUCUUUUAUAAUGAGGUAGGAAGAAGGGGUGGAGUGUAGUAUGGUCAAGUGGCGGAAAUAUUGGAAGGAGACGAUCAACUUGAAAUAUUUUUUAUAAAACUUGUUUUCCCUACUUCCGUUAGAGAAUUGACUUGCUUCCAUUUUCUUUGAUAAAAUUAGCCUUGGUCACUACCUACAAGCUAUCUGUGUUCUUUGAUAAGAGAGCGAGUUGAGCUGAGGUUUUUACGGAUGAAGAACACCUGAAUCAGUAAGCUAGAGAGUAACAACUUGAAGAUUACUACACUAAGAACAGCUUGGUUCUAUUCAUCGGUUAAAUAACUUAGCAUGACAGCCUAGACACGACUAUUUACCGGUGAGCAAGGAACGAAUGCCACCAUUUCCAUGAUAACAUAAAACUAUUAACAUUCAUAUAUUGCUAAAAACUGCCCAUCACAAUGCUGCCUAAUUCAUAUUCUCCAGUGUUCUACUCUCGACGAAUUAUUCUCAGUUGAGUAAUCAACUAGGCUCAGAUAUGUCACGAAAUCGGGAAAAUGAAAGGGAUACCGCCAUAGCUGCAAACCAGAAUAGCAUACAACAACAAUCUAGUUGGAUAAGCUAAAUGAAUUCCUAAUAUCUCUUCCACUCAAUCACGUCCCAAUAGUCGUUGCACCAUUUAAAACACAGUUUAGUUAUCCUUACCAAGAUUUGGGUUUGAGCUGAGCAAAACCCGAUUAACUCAAUAAGCUCUAUAUCAUCACAGCCUACAGAUAAGCAGAAACAUAAGUAAUGAUGCUUACUUGCUGCAAACAGAGCUAGUAUUGACUGAGGAAAAAGGUACUGCAAAGCAAAUUGGACUUCAUUAAGGCUCAGAUAAGUAUAAUCGAGGCGAAGGAGACAAUGCACCCCCCAUGGCUGCAGACCUCAGUUGCACUACACAUAGGCCUACCGGGUUGCCAGGCCAAGAUACAGGUCCAGCUCCCUUGCCCCAUUAACUCCAAACACCUUAAUCUUAAUCAUCACAGCCUCUCAUCCGUAACAAAGUGGUAGGGUUGGAGAAGGUGAAAAUGACGACGACGAUGAAUGACGAUGAGUAAAACGAAGAACCAAAAGAGUCAGAUCUUAAACCUGAACCCUUCUUCCUGUAUAUUGUAUAUAUAUAGAGAGAGAGAGAGAUGAACAAUUAAUGUGUGUAUAUACACAUACUGCAGAAACUUCCGAGUUUAAGGCUCAGAUCUGUAUAAUCAGAGCAAAGGAGACAAUGCAUCCGCCAUGGCUGCAGACCUCGGUUUCACUGCCAAAAUGUCUACCGGGUUGCCCCGCCAAGAUACGGACCCUGCUCCUUUGACCCUAUGAACUCUAGACACCUUAAUCAUCAUAGCCUAUCUUCCCUUCCAUUACAACAACAAAAAUAAUAAUAAUAAUAAUAAUAACAACAACAACUUCAACCAUCGCGAAAACCCUUUUCAAGGAUUCACAGAUGAUGAUGAUGAUGAUGAGGAAAAAGAAGAAGAAGAAGAAACGGUAAAAGGGUCAAAUCUUAAACCCUAAACCUUCCUUCAAGUAUGAGAAUAUAUAUAUAUAUAUAGAUACAUAGAUGUACAUGUGUGUACACAUACACACUGCAAAAACUUGCGAUUUUUCAUCGGAAGUUUCAAUACAGCAGCAAAACCAAAGGACCCUUAAACAUAAAUGAUGGUUUGUUUGAAGUUUGCUUCGCGAAAAUGGAAAAAUCACCGGCAAACAGAGAGAGGGCAACCACCAUUAAAACUCCCCAAAUACCUCUCUGUUAGCCUCACUUUUUUUCU
rnacentral:lncRNA from 1 species